rnacentral:lncRNA from 1 species
CCGGCAACAAUAAGUAAGAUGGCGAGCCCAAACCCUGUGGUGGCCACAGAGGUGGCGGCUGAGACAGGCACCGGCGGGGGAGCGUUACUUGCACUGGGACCGCUGGCCGGGGCAGGCGAGGAAGAAGAGGAGCUCGGCACGACAUCGAUCUUCACCUUCAUUCCCCCGGCGCAGUGGCCCGGGAAGCCGCAGAUGAAGUAGCGGGUACCGGUGGCCGUGAGGGAGACGACAUCAUUCCCGGAGUUGNNNNNNNNNNNNNNNNNNNNNNNNNNNNNNNNNNNNNNNNNNNNNNNNNNNNNNNNNNNNNNNNNNNNNNNNNNNNNNNNNNNNNNNNNNNNNNNNNNNNUGGAAAUUGCACGUGUAUGCCGUUGCAAAUUACAUUCAAGACAUGAGGCCGGCAACAAUAAGUAAGAUGGCGAGCCCAAACCCUGUGGUGGCCACAGAGGUGGCGGCUGAGACAGGCACCGGCGGGGAGCGUUACUUGCACUGGGACCGCUGGCCGGGGCAGGCGAGGAAGAAGAGGAGCUCGGCACGACAUCGAUCUUCACCUUCAUUCCCCCGGCGCAGUGGCCCGGGAAGCCGCAGAUGAAGUAGCGGGUACCGGUGGCCGUGAGGGAGACGACAUCAUUCCCGGAGUUGAGGGUGGCGAUUGGGCUGGCGGUGCUACAAGAGUCGUAGUCGGCCUUGCUGACCUCGAGGACGUCGUGUGCCUGAGGAGAGUAUUUGAAGACGAUCCGGUCGCUUGGGUGGAAGUUCCUGGAGGACGCCCAGGUGUCGUAGUUGGUGCUGAGGUCCCAUGCACCACCUGGCUCGCCGACGUUGUAGAUUGCCGCCGAUGCGGUGCUCAGGAUGGCCAUUGUGGCCACAGCAAGGAGAAUGGUUCUCGUGGCAGCCAUUGCGGUUGGAACCGAAAGGAGAGCUAGCAGAGGAGAUUGUAAGCCAGGUCUUGUGUUUGCUUCCCUAGUUGUUUGUGUCGGGUCCUAUAAAUAACAUGCAGGCUAUCCCCGGGUGGGUUGAAGAAACGCGUCCGGUAGGUGGAAGGCUGGAAGCGUAGAAUAGACUACGUAUCUGAAUUUGGUACUUUGAAUGUUUACGUGGGAACACAAGCAAGCUAGGGAGAGGCAGCAUGCAGCGACUACUUGGUCAACUCAAACACGUUGAUGUCUGCAUGCAUCGAUUGAUGCAGAGGCUGUGGGCUCGCUUCCUCCUUAUCAAAAAAAAAGAAAAAAAACUCAAACACGUAGUGACGUGGAGAUAUAUAUACUAGUAAUAAUAAGAUAAUCGGUCGGCAGAAUAUCUAAAGACUGGGCUAUGUUGCUGGCUGCUUCACGCGUUGCUUUCCUUUUCUUCAAUAUCGACACGGUCUACGUCCCUGUUCGAUCGGCGUCUUAUUACAUCCGCACACANNNNNNNNNNNNNNNNNNNNNNNNNNNNNNNNNNNNNNNNNNNNNNNNNNNNNNNNNNNNNNNNNNNNNNNNNNNNNNNNNNNNNNNNNNNNNNNNNNNNUGCGGUUUCCCUGGUCAUUGCGCGGGCGGUAUGAAGGUUAAGAUUAUUGUCACCUCUACGUCACCCGCCCCGGCCAGCGGCCCAAGUGCAAGCAACGCUCCCCCGGCGACACCUGCUUCCGCUGCCACCAAUGUGAAGGUGACGGGGUUCGGUCUCGCCGUUUUGCUUGCCGUUGCCGGCCUCAUGGCUUGAGUGCAUCUCUAUAUAGUCGCAGGCACAUGUGUAUUUUAUGUACAUAUUCAAGUAAUUAUUACUAGCAACUAUCUGUGUGUAUAGUAAAGUCGUUAUGCGUGUGUUGGACCUAUUCGCGCUUUCUGUUUUGCUGAUUCAUUUUAUAGGAUUUAUUAAUAAAGAUUAUUUUGGUCUUAUACAACAUUUGUCCUUAAACACGAUCUUUCUAAAACAUGAGAACCAACAUUUUCAUAACUUAAACUUGUAUUACAAAUAUAUACAUACUUAAAUUAGACAUGUAAUUAGUAUUGCCCGGCCCUCAUUGUAAAUGAACUGUCCCGAACAACCAGCUGCCACAAAUGUUCAAGAACAAUUAGGAUGCCCCCAACCCCGGACAUACAGGAUCAAAAUCCGCUGCGCAAAAUCCCUGUUUUUUGCUGAUGGAGUGCCAUACAUGUUUCUUUUUCUGGUGUUGCAAGGGACAAUCACCGUCGUCGAGGGGGNNNNNNNNNNNNNNNNNNNNNNNNNNNNNNNNNNNNNNNNNNNNNNNNNNNNNNNNNNNNNNNNNNNNNNNNNNNNNNNNNNNNNNNNNNNNNNNNNNNNAUCUCCACUCAAGGAUCAAUACACCAGCACUUGCUAUACAAAUCCACUUUGCUAGCUCUCCUUGCAGUUCCAACCGCAAUGGCUGCCACAAGAACCAGUCUUCUCGCCCUGGCUGCGAUGGCCGUCGUCAUAAGCACCGCGUCCGCGGCGAUCUACAACGUCGGCGAGCCCGGCGGAGCUUGGGACCUCGGCACCAACUACGACGCAUGGGCGUCCUCCAGGAACUUCCAUAUCGACGACCAGAUCAUGUUCAAGUACUCCCCUCAGGCGCACAACCUCCUCCAAGUCAGCAAAGCAGACUACGACUCCUGCAACACCGCCAGCCCCCUCGCCACCUAUACCUCUGGGAAUGUUAUCGUCACCCUCUCCAACAACAGCACCCGCUACUUCAUCUGCGGUUUCCCUGGUCAUUGCGCGGGCGGUAUGAAGGUUAAGAUUAUUGUCACCUCUACGUCACCCGCCCCGGCCAGCGGCCCAAGUGCAAGCAACGCUCCCCCGGCGACACCUGCUUCCGCUGCCACCAAUGUGAAGGUGACGGGGUUCGGUCUCGCCGUUUUGCUUGCAGUUGCCGGCCUCAUGGCUUGAGUGCAUCUCUAUAUAGUCGCAGGCACAUGUGUAUUUUAUGUACAUAUUCAAGUAAUUAUUACUAGCAACUAUCUGUGUGUAUAGUAAAGUCGUUAUGCGUGUGUUGGACCUAUUCGCGCUUUCUGUUUUGCUGAUUCAUUUUAUAGGAUUUAUUAAUAAAGAUUAUUUUGGUCUUAUACAACAUUUGUCCUUAAACACGAUCUUUCUAAAACAUGAGAACCAACAUUUUCAUAACUUAAACUUGUAUUACAAAUAUAUACAUACUUAAAUUAGACAUGUAAUUAGUAUUGCCCGGCCCUCAUUGUAAAUGAACUGUCNNNNNNNNNNNNNNNNNNNNNNNNNNNNNNNNNNNNNNNNNNNNNNNNNNNNNNNNNNNNNNNNNNNNNNNNNNNNNNNNNNNNNNNNNNNNNNNNNNNNAAAAGAUAAUUGGGCCGAGCCCAGGUCAAAAGGGAGGGAGGGGAGGGGAGGGGGGGGGGGUGGGCGGGGAUUGUAUAUCGAAUAAAUAAACAAAUGAAACCAAAGAAAAAAAGGCAAGCAAAACAAAAAAGAAAAGAAAAAACUAGGCUAUGCACAACAAGAAGAAUAAACGAAGUAACUAGGAAAAACAAGUGAGUUGUCCUAAUUGGUUGUAGUCAAUCGAAUGUGUAGUGGGAGGUGGUGACACAGAACGACCAAUCCUGAAAGGGUGGAAGUAAAUCAAGAUGUUGGGAGUUUGAGUCCUACCUCUCGCACUAAACUUUUAAUCUUUAUGAAAGAAAAAAGAGAGGCCAAGCAUAGAAAGGGCGUGCGGAUCGACCGUGUACGUCUAUGUAUAGCUAGUACGCGUCACAUAUAAAGGUGGGUAUACCUUAUGGUUAAAUAAUCAUACUGUCCUUAUUAUACGAUUUGUGAGGGGGGGGGGGUGUACUGAAGUAAGGCUCAUUUUUUUUAUGUAAUAGAAGGAAGGAUAUACAAUGUCGCCAAUCAGGAGUACUUUUGAUUAUAGUGAUAAAAUGUUUCCAGAAGGAUAAGUACACCGGGACUCUGUAGGAAUGCCAAGUAGCAGCGGGCACAAAAAGGCCAAUAGUGGCGGGCAAGCCUCCCAGGGGUGCCCUCCACCGACUUCCCGCACUGCUGGUACCCCACCAGUGGCGGGUGAACGCCCGCCACUAGUAGAGCAUCUUCAGUGGUGAGCAUCUCCAUACGCCCGUCACACAUAGGUAUUGUAGUAGUGGCAGUCAAACUGCCCUCGCCCGCCACGNNNNNNNNNNNNNNNNNNNNNNNNNNNNNNNNNNNNNNNNNNNNNNNNNNNNNNNNNNNNNNNNNNNNNNNNNNNNNNNNNNNNNNNNNNNNNNNNNNNNUGAAAGGAGAGCUAGCAGAGGAGAUUGUAAGUCAGGUCUUGUGUUUGCUUCCCUAGUUGUUUGUGUCGGGNNNNNNNNNNUCGCCGACGUUGUAGAUUGCCGCCGAUGCGGUGCUCAGGAUGGCCAUUGUGGCCACAGCAAGGAGAAUGGUUCUCGUGGCAGCCAUUGCAGUUGGAACCGAAAGGAGAGCUAGCAGAGGAGAUUGUAAGCCAGGUCUUGUGUUUGCUUCCCUAGUUGUUUGUGUCGGGUCCUAUAAAUAACAUGCAGGCUAUCCCCGGGUGGGUUGAAGAAACGCGUCCGGUAGGUGGAAGGCUGGGAGCGUAGAAUAGACUACGUAUCUGAAUUUGGUACUUUGAACGUUUACGUGGGAACACAAGCAAGCUAGGNNNNNNNNNNCUAGUGACGUAGAGAUAUAUAGUAGUAAUAAUAAGAUAAUCGGUCGACGGAAUAUCUGAAAACUGGGCUAUGUUGCUGGCUGCUUCACGCGUUGCUUUCCUUUUCUUCANNNNNNNNNNGAGAGGCAGCAUGCAGCGACUACUUGGUCAACUCAAACACGUUGAUGUCUGCAUGCAUCGAUUGAUGCAGAGGCUGUGGGCUCGCUUCCUCCUUAUCAAAAAAAAAGAAAAAAAACUCAAACACGUAGUGACGUGGAGAUAUAUAUACUAGUAAUAAUAAGAUAAUCGGUCGGCGGAAUAUCUGAAGACUGGGCUAUGUUGCUGGCUGCUUCACGCGUUGCUUUCCUUUUCUUCAAUAUCGACACGGUCUACGUCCCUGUUCGAUCGGCGUCUUAUUACAUCCGCACACACACAAAAAACACAUUUACAGUUGGUAAAAUGGAGUUUUGAGCUCGCAAGUUGAGCCGUACAAUUGACCCACAGUGCAACCUCCUGGAUUGCAAAGUAACAUUAUCGAGUGAAAUAAUAUUGCACGAUGUAUUCUUAAAUUGGAUUAAAGUUUAGGAAUAUCCACUAUGUCUUGGCGGGAAUAUCUCUCGUACCAUUUGCCAUGGAUGAUGAGCUAUGUAGAAAAUAAUGAUUGAUAGAAUAUCUCUCCUCNNNNNNNNNNNNNNNNNNNNNNNNNNNNNNNNNNNNNNNNNNNNNNNNNNNNNNNNNNNNNNNNNNNNNNNNNNNNNNNNNNNNNNNNNNNNNNNNNNNNGUUAUAUACGGACUAAAAAGGACCGGAGGGAGUAAUAAAGUAGUAAUAAUGACUAGUUUGGCUCUUACUACCUCCGUCCUGGUAUAUUAGUCCUCCUGGUAGUUUGGGUUAAACUUUGAACUUUGAUUUAACUAAUAAAAUAUAAGUCACAUACCCUAAAAAUAAUAUAAAUAGAAACUUCUUUCAAAUAUGAAUCCAACAAUUAAAAUUUUGUGACAUACAACUUCUAAUUUGUUAGUCAAAUCUACUGUCAAAGUUGUGCAUAAGAUACGAAGGGGAUCAAUAAACCCGGACGGAUGUAGUAUUAAAUUAGGUAUAUGGUAUAACAUUAUAGUCACUAAAUGUAUCAUUUGUAUUUGAUAUUGCAUUAGUACAUAUAACUAAACCAUUCCAAGAAUAAAAAUUUAGGGCCUUAUUAAUACGUUGAGUCCAUAGAUAAAAAAAUGCUUCGACACUUGGAUCUAACCGCAAUGGCACCACAAGAAAAUGCCAUUGCGGUUCCAACCGCAAUGGCUGCCACAAGAACCAGUCUUCUCGCCCUGGCUNNNNNNNNNNNNNNNNNNNNNNNNNNNNNNNNNNNNNNNNNNNNNNNNNNNNNNNNNNNNNNNNNNNNNNNNNNNNNNNNNNNNNNNNNNNNNNNNNNNNAAAAGUACUCCUGAUUGGCGACAUUGUAUAUCCUUCCUUCUAUUACAUAAAAAAAAUGAGCCUUACUUCAGUACACCCCCCCCCUCACAAAUCGUAUAAUAAGGACAGUAUGAUUAUUUAACCAUAAGGUAUACCCACCUUUAUAUGUGACGCGUACUAGCUAUACAUAGACGUACACGGUCGAUCCGCACGCCCUUUCUAUGCUUGGCCUCUCUUUUUUCUUUCAUAAAGAUUAAAAAUUUAGUGCGAGAGGUAGGACUCAAACUCCCAACAUCUUGAUUUACUUCCACCCUUUCAGGAUUGGUCGUUCUGUGUCACCACCUCCCACUACACAUUCGAUUGACUACAACCAAUUAGGACAACUCACUUGUUUUUCCUAGUUACUUCGUUUAUUCUUCUUGUUGUGCAUAGCCUAGUUUUUUCUUUUCUUUUUUGUUUUGCUUGCCUUUUUUUCUUUGGUUUCAUUUGUUUAUUUAUUCGAUAUACAAUCCCCGCCACCCCCCCCCUCCCUCCNNNNNNNNNNNNNNNNNNNNNNNNNNNNNNNNNNNNNNNNNNNNNNNNNNNNNNNNNNNNNNNNNNNNNNNNNNNNNNNNNNNNNNNNNNNNNNNNNNNNACACGAUGCACAACACAAAUGAUGCAUGAGCAGCUGAAAACAUGCAAGACACGGCAUGCCAAUUCACGACAAACAAACACUACACAUUAAGUGAGGUUCAAUAUGCAACGGGUUGCAUAUUGACGAAACUCCACGUUUAAUUAUUUAGUUCUAUCCCAAUUAGAUACACGGAAAUAUUAAAUAUGGUUAAACAUGGCAAGAGGUGAAGCGUAAUUAAACUACCUAUCUAGGCANNNNNNNNNNUUACAAAACCAGAGACAAGCAUCAACACACGAAAUUCACCACACGAUGCACAACACAAAUGAUGCAUGAGCAGCUGAAAACAUGCAAGNNNNNNNNNNNNNNNNNNNNNNNNNNNNNNNNNNNNNNNNNNNNNNNNNNNNNNNNNNNNNNNNNNNNNNNNNNNNNNNNNNNNNNNNNNNNNNNNNNNNNNNNNNNNNNNNNNNNNNNNNNNNNNNNNNNNNNNNNNNNNNNNNNNNNNNNNNGAUUAGAUACACGGCAAUAUUAAAUGUAGUUAAACAUGGCAAGAGGUGAAGCGUAAUUAAACUACCUAUCUAGGCAUUUUAAAUGAGGUCGGAAAUGACAUAUAGCAGCUCCGAGACGACCUCACAAGUUAAUUUACAAUUCUGUCCAGAUCUGAACUAAUACAUUUAACUAGUUGUUAAACAGCGAAACAAAUAGGUUCACGUGAUUCUACGCAUCGAGACAAGCAAUUUACACAUAGAAAUCAUCUCCAACGAAGCUACGGUUCAAAAGUUACAAGCACGGCAAGAUAUGAUGGCAUGAAUGCAAUAUGUGUGCAACGACGGCUACGAGCACUUCAAAACAUACAAACAUCAAGAGAAAAAUGAAACUNNNNNNNNNNGCAUUUAACUAGUUGUUAAACAGGAAAUCAAAUAGGUUCACGUGAUUCUAUGCAUCGAGACAAGCAAUUUACACAUAGAAAUCAUCUCCAACGGAGCUACAGUUCAAAAGUUACAAGCACCACAAGAUAUGAUGCCAUGAAUGCAAUAUGUGUGCAAUGAAGGCUACGAGCACUUCAAAACAUACAAACAUCAAGAGAAAAAUGAAACUACACGAGAUUCUAAGCAAGUUUCAUGUAGGACAUGAUCAAAUCGGAGCUACGGUUCAACAACUACGAGCAAAACAAGAAAUCUUCACAAUCUGCCAAAAUCAGCCACAUAGCAUUUUCUACACCCCACAACUACGGGCUACACAACUCCGAUAAACUCAAGCAAGGCAUGGCACGAAAGAGGGCAAGACGCACUACUAAAAAUAACUAACAACAACUAGCAUGGCAGCAAGGAGCACUAGGAAAAGAAGACACAAAAUGGCAUCUCACACACNNNNNNNNNNGCACAACUACGGGCUACACAACUCCGAUAAACUCAAGCAAGACAUGGCACGAAAGAGGGCAAGACGCACUACUACAAAUAACUAACAACAACUAGCAUGACAGCAAGGAGCACUAGGAAAAGAAGACACAAAAUGGCAUCUCACACACUAUUUUAGACUUAGUGAAAAUUACACCUCAUGAAGGUGCAGUUUUCGAUCUGAAGCAAUAUUGACAGCUGCAAAACCUAUAGCUACAGGACUCCAAAUGGCAUGAAUAUUUACAGCAUGCUAGAUAAACACAAGGGGUACAACUAACUCCAUUGGACCAACCGCAAAAGAGCUAAACAUCACAAGAUACAAGCAAGACAAGACAACAACAAAAUGUAACAGAUUCCACACUUAGAAAUAUUUCAGCUCCUCUAAAUCAGCACUAUUUCUAGCAACUUGAGAGCAAGCAAAUCACACCUAAACAUGCAUUUCUAUUGCAACCAAGAAUACCAGGGGCUAGUCUAAACACCCAAGAACAACUCUCUAGUUGACAACUUAAUCAAACGGAGCCCGGAAUAAAUCCUACGAAUUNNNNNNNNNNCAGACUUAGUGAAAAUUACACCUCAUGAAGGUGCAGUUUUCGAUCGGAAGCAAUAUUGACAGCAGUAAAACCUAUAGCUACAGGACUCCAAAUGACAUGAAAAUUUACAGCAUGUUAGAGAAACACAAGGGGUACAACUAACUCCAUUGGGCCAACCUCAAAAGAGCUACACAUCACAAGAUACAAGCAAGACAAGACAACAACAAAAUGUAACAGAUNNNNNNNNNNNNNNNNNNNNNNNNNNNNNNNNNNNNNNNNNNNNNNNNNNNNNNNNNNNNNNNNNNNNNNNNNNNNNNNNNNNNNNNNNNNNNNNNNNNNNNNNNNNNNNNNNNNNNNNNNNNNNNNNNNNNNNNNNNNNNNNNNNNNNNNNNNNNNNNNNNNNNNNNNNNNNNNNNNNNNNNAAAAAAAUACCAGGGGCUAGUCUAAACACCCAAGAACAACUCCCUAGUUGACAACUUAAUCAAACGGAGCCCGGAAUAAAUCCUACGAAUUAAACAAAAGAGCAUCACGGCAAAAUAUCUUGCGAACUAACUUGCUGUAAUGCUAAAUCUAAUUUCACAGAAAAAUCCAAUGGAUUUUUCUACCCCGAAAACAUAUAAAAUAUGUGGGGUUGCACAACAACAUAAUGCCACACGAAAAUGCGGGAAAAAUAACCUAUACACGGGAAAAUAAACUACCGGCAAUCCCUACACGUGAAAAUACAAAUGACCGCUAUAAAUUAUAUGCAAAAAUGAUUCCUAAAACAUGGACAUUUAAUCUAUGGCAUACGGACUAUCCGGGCACUCGCGAAAAAAUAAUACGGGACGCAANNNNNNNNNNNNNNNNNNNNNNNNNNNNNNNNNNNNNNNNNNNNNNNNNNNNNNNNNNNNNNNNNNNNNNNNNNNNNNNNNNNNNNNNNNNNNNNNNNNNCUAUAGGGAGAGGAUCUGAAUGUAGCAGACCCGCUGACUAAACCUCUUCCAUGGGCAAAGCAUGAUCAACACAAGAACUGUAUGGGUGUUAGAUUUAUUAUAAUGUAAUUCGCAUGAUUAUAGACUCUAGUGCAAGUGGGAGACUGUUGGAAUUAUGCCCUAGAGGCAAUAAUAAAUAUAGUUAUUAUUAUAAUUCCUGUAUCAAGAUAAUCGUUUAUUAUCCAUGCUAUAAUUGUAUUGAAUGAAGACUUAUAUACAUGUGUGGAUACAUAGACAAAACACUGUCCCUAGCAAGCCUCUAGUUGGCUAGCCAGUUGAACAAAGAUAGUCAGGGUCUUCUGAUUAUGUACAAGGUGUUGUUGCUUGAUAACUGGAUCACGUCAUUAGGAGAAUCACGUGAUGGACUAGACCCAAACUAAUAGACGUAGCAUGUUGAUCGUGUCAUUUUGUUGCUACUGUUUUCUGCGUGUCAAGUAUUUGUUCCUAUGACCAUGAGAUCAUAUAACUCACUGACACCGGAGGAAUGCUUUGUGUGUAUCAAAUGUCGCAACGUAACUGGGUGACUAUAAAGAUGCUCUACAGGUAUAUCCGAAGGUGUUCGUUGAGUUAGUAUGGAUCGAGACUGGGAUUUGUCGCUCCGUGUGACGGAGAGGUAUCUCGGGGCCCACUCGGUAAUACAACAUCACACACAAGCCUUGCAAGAAAAGUGACUUAAUGUAAGUUGCGGGAUCUUGUAUUUCGGAAUGAGUAAAGAGACUUGCCGGUAAACGAGAUUGAAAUGGGUAUGCGGAUACUGAUGAUCGAAUCUCGGGCAAGUAACAUACCGAAGAUAAAAGGGAAUGACAUACGGGAUUAUAUGAAUCCUUGGCACUGAGGUUCAAACAAUAAGAUCUUCGUAGAAUAUGUGGGAUCCAAUAUGGGCAUCCAGGUCCCGCUAUUGGAUAUUGACCGAGGAGUCACUCGGGUCAUGUCUGCAUAGUUCUCGAACCCGCAGGGUAUGCACACUUAAGGUUCGACGUUGUUUUAUGCGUAUUUGAGUUAUAUGGUUGGUCACCGAAUGUUGUUCGGAGUCCCGGAUGAGAUCACGGACGUCACGAGGGUUUCCGGAAUGGUCCGGAAACAAAGAUUGAUAUAUAGGAUGACCUCAUUUGAUUACUGGAAGGUUUUCGGAGUUACCGGGAAUGUACCGGGAAUGACGAAUGGGUUCCGGGUGUUCCCGGGGGGGGGGGGUGUCAACCCACCCCGGGGAAGCCCAUAGGCCUUGGGGGUGGCGCACCAUCCCUUAGUGGGCUGGUGGGACAGCCCAAGAAGGCCCUAUGCGCCAAAGGAUAAGAAAUCAAAGAGAAAGAAAAAAAAGAGGAGGUGGGAAAGGAGAGAAGGACUCCACCUUCCAAACCUAGUUGGAUUCGGUUUGGAAGGGGAGGACUUCCCCCCUUGGCUCGGCCGACCCCCUUGAGGCUCCUCGAGCCUCAAGGCAAGGCCCCCCCUCUCCCACCUAUAUAUACGGAGGUUUUUGGGCUGAUUUGAGACGACUUUUCCACAGCAGCCCGACCACAUACCUCCACGGUUUUUCCUCUAGAUCGCGUUUCUGCGGAGCUCGGGCGGAGCCCUGCCGAGAUCAGAUCACCACCAACCUCCGGAGCGCCGUCACACUGCUGGAGAACUCAUCUACCUCUCCGUCUCUCUUGCUGGAUCAAGAAGGCCGAGAUCAUCGUCAAGUUGUACGUGUGCUGAACGCGGAGGUGCCGUCCGUUCGACACUAGAUCGUGGGACGGAUCGCGGGACGGUUCGCGGGGCGGAUCGAGGGACGUGAGGACGUUCCACUACAUCAACCGCGUUCACUAACACUUCUGCUAUGCGAUCUACAAGGGUACGUAGAUCGGAAAUCCCCUCUCGUCGAUGGACAUCACCAUGAUAGGUCUUCGUGCGCGUAGGAAAAUUUUUGUUUCCCAUGCAACGUUCCCCAACACAUCCAUGUCCCUGCAAGCCGAUCCAUGGACCGGACCCGCAAACUUCGAGCCUCAUUGGGAAUGGAUUGCGCGCCGUGAGAAGGAGAGGAUAAGGAUCGCCGAGGCCUAUCUCGCGGAGGAAAUGGCGGAGGCGGAGGCGGUUGAUGCGACGGCGUGGACGGCCGCACAGGAGGAAGUCAUUCGCGCCUGCAUUUUGAAGAAACGAGAGCUGCGGAACACGUGCGCCCUCGCCCGCGAGCAGAAUCAGGUGGUCCGUGAAAUGGCUGGACUGCCACCGAAGGAAGAGAAGGAGGUGAGCGGCGAUGAGGAGAGCUCCAGCGACGAGCAGAUCUGACUCGAUCUGUACUGCGUCUUCGACCGGUACUUUCGGGACAAUGAUGAAAAGGGCGUCUGAAAGGACAAGGGCAGCCAUAGGUUGACCUCCACCAUAGCAAAACAUGGCAAAUUUUGGUAGACCGAUGGCAUGUUUAGCAGUGAUGGAGUAUCCGGACAACAUAUGUGUGUCGACGUAGUAAUUGCAUGGGUUGUAUGGAUUUGAGAUAUGAGAUUUGAGGCGUCCGGAUGUAGAUUGCAUUAUUUGAGGCGUGACCAGUAAGUGUUCGCGGACGCGCCCGGGUGUGUCCAUAACCGUUUGAGGGGCUGGAUUUCAGGGGUCCGGGUGUAGAUGCUCUAAGCGUAUGAGCAACUAUAACCGAUCUGUGAGAGCAACUCCAACCACCAAUUCAUUCCGUUUGGGUCACCGCAGAAACAAAACUUAGCCCAACACGCGGACCCAAAAAUUGGUAGAACACGUCGAUCCAGUUUGGGUCAUCGUGAACACAAAAGUCGGCCCAACAUGCGAACCCAAACAGAUGUGCGUCUGUUUUUUGUCCGCCCGCGAUCAUUCCACACUCAAAUUUGGGCCGCAUCUACGUCGACGCAGACAUGGAACGGACGCCGCAAGCCCGCCUUUCUCUUCUCCGUGGCCCGCAGUGGGUGGCAGGCAGGCUACUCUUCUCUUCCUGCCUGCUUCCGUGACUCAUCCAUGCGCCACACCCCCUGUCGCCGCCGCCCACUUCCGUCGAUGCUGCCAAUCAUUUGUCCAUAGAUAGGUCACCCUCCUGUCUGCCUCAUCUUAAGUCAUCGCCGCCCAGCUCUGUUACCUCUUGAAAAGACCUCGAUGACGCCUAGAGGGGGAGGGGGUGAAUAGGCUAUUUGAAAACUUCUUCGGAUUUGGCUUGAACCUAAUGCGGAAAUAAACUAAGAGGGUACUUGUCAAGCACAAAUCCUAAAUGCACUAGGCACUGCAACGUGUAUCAACAACACGAUCUACCAAGAUGGACACAAUACAGUUACUGACAAGCACAAGUAAGUUACACGAACUUACUUGAGAUAUAUCACACGACAAGUAGGUGAACAACACAAGAUACUAGAUCACACUAUAUCAACACAAUAUAUCAAGGGCUGCAAGUAUGAACGUGUGAAUAUAGAGGGUAUGCUUGAAUGAUUAAUCUUGUACAAGAAAUAGCCAACACAAUAUAAUGAGCACAACCAAUAUGCAAUGUAUGUAUGCUCAAAUAACACAAGUAAACCACAAGUGAGGAGUUAGGGUUAAGGAUAACCAAGUUCACUGAGAUGAAGAUGUAUCCCGAUGUUCACUUCCUUGGAGGGAAGCUAGUCACCGUUAGAGAGGUGGAUGUUACCACGAAGGCACACCAACGCCACGAAGGCUCACCCUAUUCUCCCUUUGAGAUAACACCACAAAGGCGUUUCUCAACCACUAGUGGUAAGCCUUUGAGGUGGCUUCCAAACCCUCACAAACUUUUCCGGGGGAAAUCACACGAAUUGAUUCCCCUCCGAAGAACUCCUACCGCCUAGGAGUCUCCAACCUGCAAGAGUAACAAGAUCACGGGGAAUGCUCAAAACUUGCUCAAAUCACAAAUAGCUUGGGUUGAGAGAAGGAGAGGGAGACGAUCUAUCUUUUGAUUGGAACAACUCUCAAAGGGGUCACAAAUGCCCUUGGGAUCUAAGAUUUGGAGUGAGAAAAUGUGUGUGAGGUGGAAAUGUGUUCUUAUGAGGAUAAGGCUGUGUUGGGCGACCCUCUCACGAAGUGGGAGGGGGGUAUUUAUAGUGGGGAGAGAAAAAGAGCCGUUGGGGACACUUUAAGUCACACAGGGUCCGGACGUCCGACAGUUGUCGGAUGUCCGGGCGUCCGCGAGGGGUCGGACGUCCGAGGCCUGUAGAUACGACUGAAACUAUUUUGAAUUAAACAGCGACCGGACGUCCGACAGGGGUCGGUCGUCCGAGGCUUGAAGAUACGACUGAACCUAUGUUGAAUUUAUCAGCCACCGGACGUCCGGAGAGGACCGGAAAUCCGAGUUAUACAUCUCAACUUCUACUGGUGGUAGGUUCCGGAUUUCCGACGGGUGUCGGACGUCCGGCGCUCGGACGUCCGGAGGGAGCUGGAUUUCCGAGAUAUAGAACUCAUGUUCUUCUGGUGCAGGGCUCCGGAUUUCCGAAGCCAGUCGGUCGUCCGAGCCUUGACCGGCCCUCGGACGUCCGGAGGGAGCCGGAAGUCCGAGUUAUAUGGCUCAAGUUUCUCUGGUGCAUAGUUCCGGAAUUCCGAAGCUGGUCGGCUAUCCGGGCCCCGGACGUCCGGAGAGAGCCGGAAGUCCGAGUUAUAUGGCUCUGAUUUCUCUGGUAUAGGAUUCCGGAUUUCCGAAGCUGUCGGUCGUCUGGCCCUCGGACGUCCGGAGGAGGCCGGAUGUCCGAGGCACUGGUUCUGUUUUCACAUAACAGCAGAGCAGUGGAGAUGUGGUCUGAACAGAAAGUGAAGAUGUAGUUUGAGCAAGUUCAUCGCAAAACCUGUGAUCCCCUCUUAAUAGUGCGGGAUCCCUAAGGACUCAAGAAUCAUAAAAGAGUACUGAUGAUCCAUACUUGAGUGUAUACUUUUAUUCGCUGAUCAUCACUCCGCACAACUAACGUCAAAGGAACUGAUACCUUUGAGUUAGCCCUUUCACCUGAGCUUGAUGUUGUUGUUCCUUCUUGGCUCAAGUUGAAAGCAAGACAUGAUGAAGUCUUCAAGUAGCUUUCCCAUACACAAUGCGGAAAGCCUAGCUUAUGUAUUUAUCUUCAUUUGUCCACCAUGUGAACAUCCACAAGAAUCAAGCAUGUAGUGCUCAAGAAUGCUUAUGUUGAUCUUGUCCUUGUUAGCACAUGAGAUUGUCCUUAUCAACACAUGAUCAUUGACAAUAGUUUCAAUGAUAUAUUCGUGCUGAUCCACUUGAACUUGCACACCACAAUCUUGAUGACGAUCACCACUUGACGUCAUCCUUCUUGGGUUGUAUGAGAUCUUCCUUUUGACGCAAGCCCAAUGGAAACACACCUAACCCCCACCUAGGAGUCUCACAAAGACCAUGGGUUAGUACACAAACACGUAAUGGACAAUGCUUACCAUACCAUGGGAUCACUUGAUCCUUCUCGGUACAUCUUAUACGCUUUGUGUGUUGAUCAUCUUGAUUUACUCUUUGUCUGAGAUCUUGAUCAACCUAGUGUUUCUAUGACCAUUCGUUGGAUAAUACCUUGAAUAACAUCUUGGUCAUCAUAUAAAAUCCUUGAACCCAACAGAUGGACUUCAAGAAGUGCCUAUGGACAAAUCCUAUAAAUAUAACUUAAGGCAACCAUUAGUCCAUAGGAAUUGUCAUCAAUUACCAAAACCACAUAUGGAGAUAUAUGCUCUAACACCUGUGCCACGAGGGUCUUCACCGGCCGGCUUGUUCCAUGAUGCCCACAAGUCGUUUGACAGUUUGCCCGCAAGGUACCAAUGGACUCCGACGAGGCGUUUUUUUCUAUAUAACGUUCUUUGUGUUUCGGAUGAUUGUUCAUCCGAUGAUGAGGAGAUCGUGGCAGCUGCGUUGCUCGUCCAUGGGCACAUACUUUUCCAACUCCGAAAGGAGUGCUUCAAGACCCCAAACCCGCUCUUUCAAGCAUCACAUAUUUCAACAUUGUUUUCGUAUGGCUAGGCAUGUGUUUAACCGUAUUCGGGAGGGGGUGGUGGACUAUGAUAAGUAUUUCGAGUGCAAGAUGGAUGCCCUUGGAAAGAUUGGCUUCUCUUAUUAGAAAUGCACUGCUACCAUCUGUAUGCUUGCAUACAGAGUUUUCGGUGACCUCAUAUAUGAGUAUGUCCAGAUGGGUGAGUCCACCUCCAUGAGUCCAUGUAUAGAUUCCGCAAGGCUGUCAUAACUGUGUUUGGGCCGGAGUACUUGAGAGAGCCAACUGUUGCUGAUACAGGAAGGUUGUUGGCUAUUAAUGCGAGCAGGGGAAUCCCGGGGAUGGUUGGUAGCAUAGGUUGUAUGCACUGGAAGUGGAAAAAUUGCCCUUCUGCUUGGUAGGGGCAGUAUAAAAGCCAUGCCCGAGCUUGCACUGUCAUAGUUAAGGCUGUUGCUUCCCAAGAUCUCUAGAUUUGUCAAUCUUUCUUCGGCAUGGUAGGAUCUCACAACGACAUCAAUGUGCUCCACCACUCUCCGGAUUUUUCUAGGAUGGCAGAAGGUAGUUGUCCGAAGGUCAAUGUUGAGAUCAAUGGCCAUCAAUACAACAAUGGAUACUAUAUAGUUGACGGUAUAUACCUGAAGUAGACUCCUCUUGUCAAGACAAUCCCCAACCUUGUAGGGAAGUAGAGAAAGUGAUUUUCCCAAGAGCAAGAAAGUGCUAGAACGGAUGUUGAGCGUGCCUCUGGUGUUCUGCAAUCUUGAUGGGGCAUUGUUCGGUAUCAUGCAAGCACUUGGAGCACCCAUAAGAUUUGGGAGGUGAUGACUUCUUGCGUAAGCACACACAACAUGAUCAUAGAGGAUGAGAGCCGACAACAUCUCUUUGAUCAAGGGUUUCAGUUUCAGGAUGACAAUGUUGUGCUUGAGCAUGGAGGACCCACAACGUUUGCAUAGUUCACCGAGAUUUAUCAUUAGAUGCGUGAUUCAGGAACUCACAUGCAGCUGCAAAAUGAUUUGGUUAAGCAUAUGUGGAUUCAUGUUGGCAACCAACAGAUGUAUCGACAACUUUUUUUCUUAGGUCUUUGAGACAAUUUAAUGUUAAUUUGGCUUAUAAACUGUGAGAUAUUUAUGCGAUUCUUGAACUAUGCAAUGUCUUGUAUUUUUGUUGAACUCUAUUAGUCUAUGAUAAAAAAUGGCUGAAAGCCUAUCAUGUGGGCGAAAAAUGGCUCGGUGCGCUGGGCGCAUGGCCGACCCAAAUGAAAAACGGGGCGGAUAGGGCGACCCAAAUGGACAAAACACGGAUAAAAGCACAUAUGUUUAGGUCGCACGGUUGGAGUUGUUUUUAGGCCAUCUCUAGCUGGUCACCCGAAAGUUAAUGGCAUAGAACUCUUAGUGGAGUAUAUAUACUCCAUUAAUUUAUAUAUACACCCGAAACUUAACAUAACAAAUUUUAAUUUGAUCAAGUUCAAUGCAGUUUGAACCGAAAGUAGCAUGCAUUCAAACAUAAACACAGAUAGUUAUGAACAACCAAACAUAAAAUACAAAUUUAAACUAAAUUGUGCUUAACUAAACUACUUUUGGUCGAAUGUGAGGUCGAGCCAAUCCUUCUUCGUCAGGUAUUGUGUGUUGCGAUUUGGGUCCAGGUUGGUGCCAUCGUCUUCGUCAUCAGGAAAAUCACUCCUCCACUCGUGGACGUGGAUCUCCUUGUCCUUGCCGCCACCUCGCCGCCCUCCAUGUCGCCGUCCUUGCCGCCUUAAACCUCGUUGGAGGAGGAGAUAACGAUACCCUCGUCACCGGCAUCGGCAAAGAUAAUCCGCUACGCCUCCAUGAGCUCUCGGUGCUGCCGGCGGAGCUCUUGCAUGUAGGCCUCGUCGACGGCCUCGGCCUCGAGGCGCUCCCUUGCCUCAAGGUCCUCCAGCGCUUAUGCCGGGCUCACCACCCCCGGCUCUACCGGGACAAGGUGGAACAGAGCCGUGCUGAAGGAGAAGUUGAGAUGGGUCGUCGCACCGUGGUAGCGAACCUGGGAGCGGUUGUACUCCAUGGCGACGAGCUUGGCCGUAUGAAAGCUCCUGAGCCACCGCCGGGUGUGGGUCUCCCGAUCCGUGAUUUCAACCACCCACGUCCCUCACAGCCGCUGCCGGACCAUGAGGUAGGUCCUCGUCUUUGGCCGGGCCUGAUGGAGGACGGGGAAGUCAUCGAACCGACGUAGGGGUGCGGGGGCGGGUGGAUCGUGCGAGCGGCAACGACGACUAGAUGAAGCACCCACGGAGGAUGACCCGCGCGCAUGGCGGCAUGGAUCCACGUCGUAGAUCGACGGAGGGGGCCAACGGCCACCGUGUUCGGCCAUCGGAGAGGCGGGGAAGGGCGGGGGUGGGUGGGAGGCGCAUGCGACGACACGAGAGGAGAAGAGGAGGCGAUUUUACUGGACCGUGGAGAAAGGGAGUAAAUAUGCUCCGAACUAUAGGGAAGGAGUAAAUGUUUUACUCCACUAAGCCAUUUUAGGGAUUGGUUAGGUCAAACUUGGUGGAGUAAAAAUCCAAAUAUACUCCACUAAGUUGAUAUAGAGUAUGAGUUAGAAAUGGCCUUAGGAGUAAACAACCGAGCAUUGAUGUUAACAACAGUGUACCGAUCUCUUAAGAGUAAACCACCGAGUAUGGCGAGUACUUUUGCACCUCCAAAAGAUGUCGCUUCUAACCUAUCCCCUAAACUUAACAAAGUAAACCUAUAUUAUUUCAUGGAUUUCCUCGAACACUUGUUAUACCCGAUGGAAGAACUCUAUGAGUGGAGUGAGGUCGAAGUCGCAGACCUUGAGGUUGUUGUUGGCGUCGAGGAAGAUGUUUUGAUGCUUGGUGUCGCGGUGGAAGACGACGCACGUGUGGCAGUAGAUGAGCGCAGAGACAAGCAUGAGAAAUACCCCACGCACCGUUGUGGUCAAGACUUCGCCAGCGAGGGAGCAUGUGUGGUAUACCAUGGCAAGCACAUGUGCAUCCAUGCAGGUGGCGACAGGUCGGGGCUUGUUGAGCACCUUGAUGGACACGUGCUCUCUGACAACGAAGGAGGGCGUGUGUUCCACUCCCGAGGGGCCAACCAAUAUCGUAUUUGUUCCUCUUGGCGACAACAAUGUGCGGCGACACCGAUGCGAAAGAGGAGUGUGAGAUGUAAUCUCAAUGUAUAUGCCCCCUUUCGUUUAGGGAAUGUACAAUGAUGCUAUCUUAGGAGUGACACGUAAUAUAAAUGUUGAGGUCUAGGAGAGAGUUAAUAAAAAUGACAUGUCUUCUCUUAUUUAUGAGAUCAUGUGUUAACAUAAUAUGUGUUAUCAUAUUUUUUGAAACCACUAGUUAUUAUCGAUAAUGCUAAAGAGAUCCUUCAGAUAAGAGUGCCUUAUGAACCAUUAUAUAUAUGUUCUUAGCUUGUCUUGUUUUUCUCUCACAUAAUAAGCACGACUGAAUUUGUCCACCUGAUACGUGCUACAUUCACGUUAUGAUGUACUCCUUCCGUCUCAACAUUCUUGUAUUUGUUUUAUGUAGAUAUGAAUGUAUGUAGUCAUGUGUUAGUAUUUAGAUACAUUCAUUUAUGAACAAAUGUAAGAUAAGAAUUUUGAAACGGAGGGAUUACGUAGUUUAAGUUCCUAAUUUGCAGGCCUAGCAGACUGGCAUGAUCUAGGCUGGUGAGAUUGGAUUGUGACGAGGUUUUCACUUUCUAUUAUGCAACUGAAUAAAAAGGAAAGAACAUAAGAGAUGCAUUUUUCACGUGUCGCAAAAGCGCUCUCUCUAUGGCUCCGUUUCUGCUCUCUGAACCCUAACGUCUUGUGUUAUCGAGAUAGAAAAAACAGUAUAAGAUAGAGUAGAUCACAGCCAAGAAUUGCUAUUAGAGCUUUAUCUAAUGACCUUGGGCGUUUGGCGGGUGUGAUUGGAGGAGUUUUAGCGGCAGCGAUGGGGAUACUGCUUCUAACAAGGACGACAACAAGAACAACAGAGGUAGCGAAAAGCACAUGCCGCCGACAGCAAGGAAGUCGAGGACAUGAGACGAUGAAUGCAUCGUGGUGUUGGCUCCUGCUUCGAAAGCCAACAACGUUAGCGCUUUUUAUGUUUCAAGUUUAUUUUUAUUUUUCAAUCAAAUGUUAGCAUUUUUGUUUCAAAAUUUGAGAGAAUCAGCAUUUUUGAACUUUUAAUGCGAAAUCCAAACAUACUCACAUUUCCAUUAAAUUGCAUGAAUUUUUUCAAAAAAUGUUCAUGUAUUUUGAUAUUGUUAAGAAUGUCAACACGGGAACACUUUCUGAAAAACAUUGAAUACAAUUUUUAAACCAAUAUUUUAUGAAUUUCGAACUUUUUGCCAAAGAUGAACAAAUUUUGCGUUUUAAACAUUGUUCAAAAAGACGGACAAAAAUUCAAAACAAAAUAUAUGAUUUUCUGUGAACUUUUUCCCUUUUGCGAACAAUAAUUUUAUAAUGGGAACAAUUUAUGAAUUCUGAUCAAAUGUUGGAAGUGCAAACAUUACUGAAACUCUUUGAACAUUUUUUAAAAUUGUCGAUAAAUUUUUUAAUUUUUAGAUAAAUUUCGUAAACAGGAACAAAAUUUUAAAUUGUAAAUAAGAUUUUUUAUGGUUAUCUUUUUUGGAAUUCCUGAACAAUUUUUUUACAUUUGUGAACAAAUUUUGUAGGCAGGAACAAUUAUUCAAUUUAAAAAAAAUCCAAAUCUGUGGACAUUUCUGUGAAAUUCGAAAAUAAUUAGUUAAUUUCGAAAAAUAUAAAUUAAUAAAAUAUACUCAGAAAUGAACUUGAAAACGAAAAUGAAAAAUGAUACAAAAAUUUAGAAAGAAAAAAAAAUAAAAGGAAGAAAGAAACAGAAACAGGGAGUACAAGGAAUAAACUAAAACCAAAGAAAUAAAAAAAGGAGGGAAACCCAAUAAAGGAAUAAACCAGUAAAAACUAGCUCAAAAAACUUCUAGAAGGCUUCAAAAACCGAUAUAAACACCGCUGAAACAUUCUUGAAGUUUCCUAAAACUGAGACCUACUGGUUGUUAAAGUGGGCCAGCCCAGAUUGGAUCCAUAGCUGCGUAACCUCGACUGGUAUUCUGUUCGCUUCUGCGUUGCGUCUGAAGAACGGGAGCUCCUACCUGCCACUCAUUGCGGCAGGGAGCGCCAGCGCCGCACAGGGAGCGCCCCCUAUGGGCCGGCCUAGUUUUAUUUAUUUGUUCUUUUACGUUUUCUUCUCUGUUAUUUUUACUUUUUAGGUUCGUUUUUUAUUUUUAUUUUCAAUCUUAUAUUUCGAAAAGGAAAACAGUUUUCAAAAAUAUUGAAUUUUUUCGAAAGCGGGAAUAAAUUUUUAAAGCAUGAAUAUUUUCUAAAUUAUGAGAACAAAAUUAAAAAAGAGGAACAUCUUUGUAAAAUAUCUAAAAAAUUGUUUCUCAAAUUCCGGAAUAUUUUUUCAAAGUCUGGAACAUUUUUCCAAAUUCCGGAAAAAGUUUCAAAACAUUUUCUAAAAUUCCAGAAUAUUUUUCAAAUUCCUGAACAUUUUCACAAAUUCGGAGCAUUUCACAAAAUGCGGAAAAUAUUAUCAAAUUGCAGAACAUUUAUAAAAUCCCUAAUUAUUUUUCAAAUUCUAGAACAUUUUUCAAAAUGCCAAAAUAUAUUUCAAAUUCCGAAAAAUAAAAUCAAAUUCUGGAACAUUUUUGAAAUUUCGAAACAUUUUUGAAAUUCCAAGAGAUUUUCCACAUAAAAAAAGAAAAAANAUUUUUGAAACAGAAACAGAAAAACGAAAAAAAGAAGGAAACAUAAACAAUAAAACAAAGGAACAGAAAACAAAAACCGAAAAAAAAUAAUACUGGGAACUUUCGGCAAGCGAAACUGGCCUGGCCCAAGUGUUGUCCGGAGUGUGUGCGGAGUCCCGACUAUUUGAGCGUCAAAUAGGGUUUUUUCUGAAGACACCUAUUUCGAAUAUCCUUUUUACCGUUCAAUGCGGCGAGUUGUCGAGCAAACGGACAGCGGAAGAAGGCGAUUUUUUUUAAUAAGCAGGCCUGUUAACACCGUUCUUUCCAGCUGAUCUUUUACUGUAUUUGAGUUAUAUGGUUGGUUACCGAAUGUUGUUCGGAGUCCCGGAUGAGAUCACAGACGUCACGAGGGNCAUAAUUUUAAAUAGUUCCUGUUUUUCAAAAUCAUUCACAACUUCAAAAUUUGUUUGAAAUUUUCGAAAAACGUUCGCACUGCGAAAUUUUUUCAGCAUUUUGCAAAAUUGUUUUCGAUUUCAAAAUUUAUUUGUAAGAUUCAAAAAAUGUUCGUGCUUUUUCAAAUUUGUCUGGAGUUUUUAGUUUUUUUUCGGUUUCAAUAUUAUUCUCAAAAUUCUAAAUAUGUUCGUGCGUUAAAAAAUUAUCCAUGCUUCCAAAUUUGUUCAAAUUUUUUCAACAUUGUUCUCGGUUUCAAAAUUUGUUCUUAAGAUUCAAAAAAUGUUUGUGCUUGAUUUCUUUCACGAUUCCAAAUUUGUUCUGGGUUUUUCAAAAUGGUUCUCCAUUUCAAAAUUUUGUUCUCAAGAAUCAAAAAACAUUCGUGCUUGUAGAAAAAUUGUUCGUGUUUCGAUAUUUGUAUAGGAUUUUUCAAAAUUAUUCUCAGUUCCAAAAUUUAUUCUCCAGAUUCAAAAAAUGUUCGUUCUUUAAAAAAUUGUUUGUGCUUCCAUAGUUGUUCGGGGCUUUUCAAAAUUGUUCUCCGUUUCAAAUUUAGUUCUCAAGAUUUAAAAAUUGCUCGUGCUCAAAAAAGUUAUUUGUGCUUCCAAAUUUGUUCAGGAAUUUUCAAAAUUGUUCUCGGUUUCAAAAUUUGUUCUCAAGAUUCAAAGAAUGUGUGUGUUUUAAAAAGUUGUUCGCGAUUACAAUUUUUUUCAGGAUUUUUCAAAACUAUUCUUGGUUUAAAAAAAUUCUGAAGAUUGAAAAAAUGUUCGUGUUUUAAAAAACUUAUUUGUACUUUCUAACUUUUUUCUCUAAAUUAAAAAAAUGUCCGUGUUUUAAAAUUUUGUUCGUGGUCCAAAAUUGUUCACGAUUUUCCAUAAUUGUUCUUGAUUUCAAUUUUUGUUCUCAAGAUUAAAAAAAUGUUUGUGCUUUAAAAAUUUGUUCGCGCUUUCUAGUUCAUUCGGGUUUUUUUCAAAAUUGUUCUUCGUUUCAAUAUUCUGUUCUCAAGAUUCAAAAAAUGUCCGUGCUUUAAAAAAAUAUGCUCACUUCCAAAUUUGUUCACACUUUUCAAAAUUGUUCUUGGUUUAAUUUUUUUUAUCAAGAUUAAAAUGAAUCAUGAUUUAAAAGUUUGUUCACGCUUUUAAAUUUGUUCCCCGUUUUUGAAAAUGUUCAUGUUUUCAAAAAAUGAUCGGAAAUUCAAAAUUUGUUUGUGCGAAAAGAUCUGGUUCAACCGGCUAAUUUUUCACGGCGCAUCCGCCUCCUCACACUUGGGACGCGUGUCUCGGCGGGACCAACUCAUUCUUAUCUCCCCAAUCUUUCUCAUGUGAGCCCACGCUCUCAUCCAUCUCUCUCAUCUCCUCUCGCGAGUGCACGACGCACGAAGGCGCAGACGCUUGGGUGACAUGACCACGACUGCUGGAGUGGCUAGGCAUCCGGUUGGGUGGGUGCGUCCGCGCGCUGCUAGAGGAGCAAUUGGGCGCUGGUUGGGUCGGGAUGAGGGAGACUGCACGUGUUGGAUCUGGCUCCUGCAAGAGCUGGACGCGUCCAUAGCGCUGGAGCGUCCGAGAAGAGCUCGCGAGAAGAUGAGGCGUCUCUUCCCCUCUGCUUCCUCCCCCCUCCUCUAACCUUGCGGCCAUUCAUCCCCUCUCCAGUAUUCUGCAACGCGGUCGUUGUUUCUGCAACCCGUUCGUUGUUUCUCCAACACGACUGUUGUUGCAGGAGUUGGAGAAAUCGUUUCUGCAACCCGCUCGUUGUUUUGGGAAUCGUUUCUGCAACCUGUUUAUUGUUUCAAGAAUUGUUUCCUCAACACGGCCGCUGUUGCAGGAAGACGAAGGAAAAAAAAUCUGCAACAAAGCGAUUGUUUGUGAAACUCGACCUUUGAUUAAGGAAUUAAUGUGUCUAAAGUUUAUAUUUUGCAACAAAGCAAUUGUCUCCUUCAUUUCAGGAAUCACUAGGUGCCGACCAGAGCCCCGCGCGCGGAUCAGAUGGACGGAUUGAACGGCUGUGUGUGUAGAUCGGACGGUCGUCGAGGUGGUGAAUGUUUACUAAACAUCCGUCGGUGGACGCAUAGCAUCCCUUUUGUUUAUUUUCAUAGAAACACAUAAAAUGUAAAAUAUAGAAAAACGAACAAAAAGGAAAAAAAGAAAUUAAAUAAUAAAAAAGGAAAACUAGAAACAGGAAAAAGGGAAAAAGUAAUUAUCAGAUUUUUGUGGGAAAUAAAAACUGGACCGGCCCAGUCAGACGAGCCCCUGAGCGUGCGAGGACUCCUUUCCGCAAAGAGCGGCAGGUAAGAUGGGAGCUCCUAUGCGCCGGGCAUUGCGGCGAGUAGUCAGUCGGACGCACAGGGGUGGCGCCCCUAACUGGGUCAACCCAGCUUUCUUUUUUGUAUGGGAAAAAAUAUUUUUGUUCUAUUUUUUCAAAUUUCGGAACUUUGUUUUUGAAAAAUCCGAGACAUUUUAAUAAGAAUUCCAGAACAUUUUUAUAAAUUCUGAAAUAUUUUUUUAAAAUUCUGGAACAUUUUUUAAAAUUCCGGAAUUUUUUGUAAAAUUGCGGAGCGUUUUUCGGAAUUGCGUAACAUUUUUCCAAAUUCCGGAACAUGUUUUCAAAUUCCAGAACGUUUUUUAAAAUUCCGGAACACUUUCAAAAUUCUGGAACAUUUUUUAAAAUUCGAAACAUUUUUUCAAAUCCAGGAACAUUUUAUCAAAGUAUGAAUCAUUUCUUCAAUUGCCAGAACAUUUUUGAAACAGAAACAGAAAAAAAAGAUACAAAAAAGAGCAAAGAAAAAAAAGAAAAAAGACAGGUUCAAGAAAUCUCUUAGAAAGUUUCCAAAUCCGGAAAAAACUGGCUUGAAACUUCUAGAUUCGCAAAAAUGGGAUGAGUGAAAGUGCUAACGGACUGGUCCAAACUCUGUCGCUCGCUCGCAGCUCCUGUGCCUUUGCCUGCCUAAGCGUUAAAUAGGGUUUUCCGCUGCAUGCGGCGUGCGCGGCCACAUGUGGCAAGCCCUACAACCAACAUGCAUGUGAAGGCCCAAAUUCCAAAGGAUGCUCAAGCACGCGACCGCACGAUUCCAUGGGCUUCCUUUUCUAUUUUUCUGAGUUGACUUUGUGGGCUUCUUGGUAUAAUGCGCAACCGCAGUGGAUGGCAACACAAUGGGGCAGCCGCAUGUGGUCAAAGGCACUAGCUUAAAGCACACUGUUAAUGUCUCGGCAUGUCGGUAUAUACCGAAGCUGAACCGAAAUUUUUGGUAAACCAAAAUAUCGAUUAUCUAUUUUUUACUGACAUUUUUGGUUUCUAGUUUGACAAAUAGAAUUUAAAAAUUAACUGAAUGGUAAAAGUCGGCGGCUAGGCGUCGCGCUAGCCUCCGAUACAACUGAUUUUUCCCAUCGGAUGUGGAGCUUGUAACAGAAAAAAAGAAUUGCUAUUCUAUUUCCAUCUCCGCUCCGCCUCUCUCCUUCCUUCAUCCCUGCAAAACUCUCACUCUCUAUCCUUCAUCGCCGCAAAACUCUCAGGGCCACCGCCGCACAUUCCCGCCGCAUUUCGCAGCCUCAUCGGCUCCGCACGCUAUUGUAGCAACGUUAGUCCCCGGUUGUAGCUUCCUUUUUCGGAUUUUGUCGGUUGCUGCAAAAAUUCUCAGUUGCAGAAAACCAUGACUCGCCAACGCUCGUCCCUCACUGGUGCUACCUACCUUUGUCCCCCGUAGAUUCAAUGGCGAUGGCGCCAUGGCUCGCAACCAUCAACGGUAGUAGCAAAAAUAAAAAAAACUGGGUGAUGUUAUAGCAAAAAUCAAAACACCGGUGGUAGCAAAAAUAGAAGUUGGUUGUAGCAAACCAAAACACCAUUUGUAGCAAAAAUGGAAACUUGAGUGUUCUUCCAACAAAGCAAAAGUGGUACUUGUAGCAAAAAUUGGAGCUGGUUCCAGCAAACCAAAACACCGGCUGUAGCAAAUUGCAAAAGUUUGGCCUCGGUAGCAGCAAACCAAAAUGCCGAUGGUAGCAAAAAUUUGUGCUGGUUCCAACAAACCAAAAAGUGAUGGUAGCAAAAAUGUAAAAUUGGGCCAAACCGAAUCAUUGGUGGUAGCAAAACUGGUCCCUCCUCCCAAUAUCUGGCAGCCGGAGUUGUGUCACCCAUCGUCAUAUCUCGCGACAAACAUCGUAUCAAUCUUGUGUGAUCCGUGGAGGAUUGAUGCAGGAAGGAGAGAAAGCAACACGAAGAAGCUCAAACUCAAGGGAUCGAUGGUGGUUUGUUUGAGGGUACUGGAGAACCAACUAGUUGGACUUGCGGGGACGAAGAAGGAGGGGGCGGUGGCGAAUCACAAUGAGGGAGCAGAAAGACGGCAUCCAUGGGUGUCCAGAAAAGAUGAGGAAGAGUGUGGCCAAGAGUUGUCCAUGCGUGUGUUUGUAUGUGAUGAAGAUAAGGUGCGCAUAGAGUAAGAGGGAGAGCGGUGUGUGGCAUCCGUCGUACACGGCGCGCGGUAUAAAGCAAGCAUUGUAUGCGUGAGGCAACCGGCGUUGCGUUCAGCCGGUGCACCGUAUUUAAACGCUUCCCAUAGUAAAAACCAAAUUUUUGGUUUCUACCGAACGCCCAGGCCUAAUCUAGAGUAUUAAGUAAAACAAAGAAAUUCUUGGGGAACGAUGAUGUAGACAAAAUAAACUUAACCAAUAUGAAUAACCUCAUCAUUUUAUCCUUAGUGGCAGGAACACAAAGACGCAACUUGGCCCCUUUUGUGAGUGGGAUAUAGAAACUAGUCAGGUUGAACCCACUACAAUGCACCCCUCUCACUAAAGAAAUACGAAACUACUUGGCCAAAGCAAUUCAAUAGGGCAGAGAGAAUUACAAAGCUAUGAUGAUCAUGUAAAUAAGAAUCAUAAGACUUAGGGAAGACCCAAAUAUUAUUUAUGAAUAAUCUGAACAUAAACUCACAAUUCACCAGUUCCAACAAACACACCAUACAAAAGAAUUACAUCGGACAGAUCGAAGCAAAGAUGCGAUGAUCAUUGUAUUGACGAUCAAGAGAGAGAGAGAGAGAUAGCCAUAUAGUUACUAACUACGAACCAUUGGUCUAUGGUGAACUACCCACACAUCAUCACGGGACAACAAGGUUGAUGAAGAGGCCCUCCUUGAUCGACCCCCCUCCGGUAGGGUGCCGGAACGGAGCACCGAAUGGGAUCGCCAUGGAACACACACUUGCGGCAGCGUAAAAAGUGUCUCGCGAUGAUAUUUAGGGUUUCUAGAAUAUUUGUAAAUUUAUAGGCCACAGAACGGAGCAAGAGGGGCCACAGGGGAGGCACAAGCCAUCAUGACACAUUCACCACCCCUGGUCAUGCCCUGUUGGCUUGUGUGCGCCACGUGUGGCUUCAGGUCUCCUCCCGAAGCUUCCAGGUCUUCUUUCGGUCCAGAAAAAAUCAUAAAAAAGUCUCGUGGCAAUUGAACUUCUUUUGGUGCCGAAAACCAGAAAAGCAAAAAACACGCAGAACACAACAACUCGCCAUGGGCAUUUGGUUAAUAGGUUAGUGCUCAGAAGUAAUAUAAAUUGGUGAAUUAUGACCCAAAAAGUAUCCUAGGAUGAUAAUAUAACAGCAUGGAACAAUAAAAAAUUAUAGAUAAGUUGGAUGCGUAUUAGUGCCUCAACUUGAUACAUCACUGGUAUCGUCGCCACCAUAUGAUGACAGUGAAUAUGUGGACAUUGGCAAUCUCUAAAGGCCAAUUGUGUGUGAAGCCAAUAUCAGCACUCCGCCUACUCUGUUUUCAACUCCACUGGAAAGAUCACCUCAAUCUCCAUUUGAACCCAUGGAUGUGGAAACCACUAAUCACGCGCCGCCUCUCAUAUGGCUUCGCCGAGGACCAAGGCCAGUUAUAUCUUCGAUGCAAAGCAUUUCUGAAGAUGAAGUGCAUGUCACUCCGAUUGCAUCAGUCGAUGAAAUUCUCAGGCUUGAAGAUGUUGCUCGUGAACAACUUGUGAUCGAAGCCAAAUCAGCUAAAGAUAUUGCUGCUGAUGAUACUAUUGCACCGCCAGAACCACCAGUUGCUGAAGGCCAAGCCAAUGCUCCAUCCCCUCAUGGCCUUCCUAUUUCUGCUACGCCAUCGGGAAGGAGAGAUGGUGCCAGCAAAAUGCCCCAACCUUGUCAUGGCUCGCAAUAGGGAAGGAGAGAUGGUGCCAGCAAAAUGCCCCAACCUUGUUCCGCCACCAAGGAUGGGUGUGCAAUAUGAAGUCAACAUCUUUCGCCAUCCAAAAGUUAUAAAUCCAAUGCCUAGGCUUCCAAGUCUUUGACAAUUAGGACCAACCCAUACUCUUGUCUUCAGCGUCAGUGAAUUCUGGCUCAACAACACUUUCAUUGAUUUUGAUAGGAAUUCCUACAGGUGUGAAAAGAUUCAAUUUGAUCGUUUCUUGAGUACAGCACAGCACACAUACUACACGUGUGUAGUAUAUGGCCAGAACAAGAUCUUCAGUCACAAGCAUCUCAGUUUUUAAGCCAUGAGUUGUCUUCUUGGUUUUGGUCAAGCCCUAGACUGUCUUCGAGAUGUUGGACUAUUGACUUUCGUUAUGGAUCAUGUGUUGGGGAACGUCGCAUGGGAAACAAAAAUUUUCCUACGCGCACGAAGACCUAUCAUGGUGAUGUCCAUCUACGAGAGGGGAUGAGUGAUCUACGUACCCUUGUAGACCGUACAGCAGAAGCGUUAGAGAACGCGGUUGAUGUAGUGGAACGUCCUCACGUCCCUCGAUCCGCCCCGCGAACAAACCCGCGGUCAGUCCCACGAUCUAGUACCGAACGGACGGCACCUCCGCGUUCAGCACACGUACAGCUCGACGAUGAUCUCGGCCUUCUUGAUCCAGCAAGAGAGACGGAGAGGUAGAAGAGUUCCCGGCAGCGUGACGGCGCUCCGGAGGUUGGUGAUGAUCUUGUCUCAGCAGGGCUCCGCCCGAGCUCCGCAGAAACGCGAUCUAGAGGAAAAACCGUGGAGGUAUGUGGUCGGGCUGCCGUGGAAAAGUCGUCUCAAAUCAGCCCUAAAACCUCCGUAUAUAUAGGUGGGAGGGAGGGGGCCUUGCCUUGGGGCUCAAGGAGCCCAAAGGGGGUCGGCCGAGUCCAAGGGGGAGGACUCUCCCCCCCCAAACCGAGUUGGACUAGGUUUGGUGGGAGGGAGUCCUCCUCCCUUCCCACCUCCUCCUUUUUUUUUCCUUUUCUCUUGAUUUUCCUUCUCUUGGCGCAUAGACCACUUGUGGGCUGUCCCACCAGCCCACUAAGGGCUGGUGUGUCUCCCCCAAGGCCUAUGGGCUUCCCCGGGGUGGGUUGCCCCCCCGGUGAACUCCCGGAACCCAUUCGUCAUUCCCGGUACAUUCCCGGUAACUCCGAAAACCUUCCGGUAAUCAAAUGAGGUCAUCCUAUAUAUCAAUCUUCGUUUCUGGACCAUUCCGGAAACCCUCGUGACGUCCGUGAUCUCAUCCGGGACUCCGAACAACAUUCGUUAACCAACCAUAUAACUCAUAUACGCAUAAAACAACGUCGAACCUUAAGUGUGCACACCCUGCGGGUUCGAGAACUAUGUAGACAUGACCCGAGAGACUCCUCGGUCAAUAUCCAAUAGCGGGACCUGGAUGCCCAUAUUGGAUCCUACAUAUUCUACGAAGAUCUUAUCGUUUGAACCUCAGUGCCAAGGAUUCGUAUAAUCCCGUAUGUCAUUCCCUUUGUCCUUCGGUAUGUUACUUGCCUGAGAUUCGAUCGUCAGUAUCCGCAUACCUAUUUCAAUCUCGUUUACCGACAAGUCUCUUUACUCGUUCCGUAAUACAAGAUCCCACAACUUACACUAAGUUACAUUGCUUGCAAGGCUUGUGUGUGAUGUUGUAUUACCGAGUGGGCCCCGAGAUACCUCUCCGUCACACGGAGUGACAAAUCCCAGUCUUGAUCCAUACUAACUCAACUAACACCUUCGGAGAUACCUGUAGAGCAUCAUUAUAGUCACCCAGUUACGUUGCGACGUUUGAUACACAAAAAGCAUUCCUCCGGUGUCAGUGAGUUAUAUGAUCUCAUGGUCAUAGGAAUAAAUACUUGACACGCAGAAAACAGUAGCAACAAAAUGACACGAUCAACAUGCUACGUCUAUUAGUUUGGGUCUAGUCAAUCACGUGAUUCUCCCAAUGACGUGAUCCAGUUAUCAAGCAACAACACCUUGUUCAUAAUCAGAAGACACUGAAUAUCAUUGAUCAACUGGCUAGCCAACUAGAGGCAUGCUAGGGACGGUGUUUUGUCUAUGUAUCCACACAUGUAAAUGAGUCUUCAUUCAAUACAAUUAUAGCAUGGAUAAUAAACUAUUAUCUUGAUACAGGAAUUAUAAUAAUAACUAUACAUUUAUUAUUGCCUCUAGUGCAUAAUUCCGACAGUCUCCCACUUGCACUAGAGUCAAUAAUCUAGCCCUCACAUCACCAUGUGAAUUACAUUGUAAUAAAUCUAACACCCAUACAGUUCUGGUGUCGAUCAUGUUUUGGCCGUGGAAGAGGUUUAGUCAGCGGGUCUGCUACAUUCAGAUCCGUGUGCACUUUGCAUAUAUUUACGUCCUCUUCCUCGACGUAGUCGCGGAUGAGGUUGAAGCGUCGUUUGAUGUGUCUGGUCUUCUUGUGAAACCGUGGUUCCUUUGCUAAGGCAAUGGCACCAGUGUUGUCACAGAACAAGGUUAUUGGAUUCAGUGCGCUUGGCACCACUCCAAGAUCCGUCAUGAACUGCUUCAUCCAGACACCCUCCUUAGCCGCCUCCGAGGCAGCCAUGUACUCCGCUUCACAUGUAGAAUCUGCUACGACGCUUUGCUUGGAACUGCACCAGCUUACUGCACCCCCAUUAAGAAUAAAUACGUAUCCGGUUUGCGACUUAGAGUCGUCCGGAUCUGUGUCAAAGCUUGCAUCGACGUAACCUUUUACGACGAGCUCUUCGUCACCUCCAUACACGAGAAACAUCUCCUUAGUCCUUUUCAGGUACUUCAGGAUAUUCUUGACCGUUGUCCAGUGAUCCACUCCUGGAUUACUCUGGAACCUACCUUCCAUACUUAUGGCCAGGCUAACAUCCGGUCUAGUGCACAGCAUCGCAUACAUGAUAGAACCUAUGGCUGAAGCAUAGGGGACGGAGCGCAUAUGCUCUCUAUCUUCAUCAGUUGCUGGGCACCGAGUCUUACUCAAUCUCGUACCUUGUAAAACUAGCAAGAACCCUUUCUUGGACUGUUCCAUUUUGAACCUCUUCAAAACUUUAUCAAGGUAUGUGCUUUGUGAAAGUCCUAUGAGGCGUUUUGAUCUAUCCCUAUAUAUCUUAAUGCCUAGAAUGUAAGCAGCUUCUCCUAGGUCCUUCAUAGAGAAAAUUUUAUUCAAGUAACCUUUUAUGCUCUCCAAAAACUCUACGUUGUUUCCAAUCAGUAAUAUGUCAUCCACAUAUAAUAUUAGAAACGCCACAGAGCUCCCACUCACUUUCUUGUAAAUACAAGAUUCUCCAACCACUUGUAUAAACCCAAAUGCUUUGAUCACCUCAUCAAAGCGUUUGUUCCAACUCCGAGAUGCUUGCACCAGUCCAUAAAUGGAUCGCUGGAGCUUGCACACCUUGUCAGCAUUCUCAGGAUCGACAAAACCUUCGGGUUGCAUCAUAUACAACUCUUCCUUAAGGAAACCGUUAAGGAACGCCGUUUUGACAUCCAUCUGCCAGAUUUCAUAAUCGAAAAAUGCAGCUAUUGCUAACAUGAUUCUGACGGACUUCAGCAUCGCUACGGGUGAGAAAGUCUCAUCGUAGUCAACUCCUGGAACUUGUGAAAAAACCCUUUGCCACAAGUCGAGCUUUAUAAACGGUCACAUUACCGUCAGCGUCCGUCUUCUUCUUAAAGAUCCAUUUAUUCUGAAUAGCCUUGCGGCCCUCAGGUAGUAUCUCCAAAGUCCACACUUUGUUCUCAUACAUGGAUCCUAUCUCGGAUUUCAUGGCUUCUAGCCAUUUGUUGGAAUCUGGGCCCACCAUAGCUUCUUCAUAAUUUGCAGGUUCAUUGUUGUCUAACAACAUGAUUGAUAAGACGGGAUUACCGUACCACUCUGGAGCAGCGCGUGAUCUCGUCGACCUGCGUGGUUCAACAGAAACUAGAACUGGAGUUUCAUGAUCAUCAUCAUUAACUUCCUCCUCAACUGGCGUCGCAACGACAGAGGUUUCCCCUUGCCCUGCGCCACCAUCCAGAGGGAUGAGAGGUUCGACAACCUCGUCAAGUUCUAUCUUCCUCCCACUCAAUUCUCUCGAGAGAAACUCCUUCUCGAGAAAAGCUCCGUUUUUAGCAACAAACACUUUGCCCUCGGAUUUGAGAUAGAAGGUGUACCCAACUGUCUCUUUUGGGUAACCUAUGAAUACGCAUUUUUCCGCUUUGGGUUCCAGCUUUUCAGGCUGAAGCUUUUUGACAUAAGCAUCACAUCCCCAAACUUUAAGAAACGACAACUUUGGCCUUUUGCCAUACCACAGUUCGUAUGGUGUCGUCUCAACGGAUUUUGAUGGUGCCCUAUUUAAAGUGAAUGCAGCUGUUUCUAAUGCAUAACCCCAAAAUGAUAACGGCAAAUCAGUAAGAGACAUCAUAGAUCGCACCAUCUCUAACAAAGUACGAUUACGACGUUCGGACACACCAUUACGCUGUGGUGUUCCAGGCGGUGUUAACUACGAAACAAUACCACAUUGUCUUAAGUGAGCACCAAACUCGAAACUCAGAUAUUCACCCCCACGAUCAGACCGUAGGAACUUGAUCUUCUUGUUACGAUGAUUUUCCACUUCACUCUGAAAUUGCUUGAACUUUUCAAAUGUUUCAGACUUGUGCUUCAUCAAGUAGACAUAACCAUAUCUACUUAAAUCGUCAGUGAAGGUGAGAAAAUAACGAUAUCCGCCGCGUGCCUCUACGCUCAUUGGACCACACACAUCGGUAUGUACGAUUUCCAACAAGUCACUUGCACGCUCCGUUGUUCCGGAGAACGGAGUCUUAGUCAUUUUGCCCAUGAGGCAUGGUUCGCACGUGUCAAGUGAAUCAAAGUCAAGUGACUCCAAAAGUCCAUCAGCAUGGAGUUUCUUCAUGCGCUUUACACCAAUAUGACCCAAGCGGCAGUGCCACAAAAAUAUGGUGCUAUCAUUGUUUACUCUAACUCUUUUGGUCUCAAUGUUAUGUAUAUGCGUAUCGCUAUCAAGAUUCAAUAUGAACAACCCUCUCACAUUCAGUGCAUGACCAUCACGUGAUUCUCCCAAUGACGUGAUCCAGUUAUCAAGCAACAACACCUUGUUCAUAAUCAGAAGACACUGACUAUCAUUGAUCAACUGGCUAGCCAACUAGAGGCAUGCUAGGGACGGUGUUUUGUCUAUGUAUCCACACAUGUAAAUGAGUCUUCAUUCAAUACAAUUAUAGCAUGGAUAAUAAACUAUUAUCUUGAUACAGGAAUUAUAAUAAUAACUAUACAUUUAUUAUUGCCUCUAGGGCAUAAUUCCAACAUCAUGAAGACUGGAUUGAAGAACUGAUUCUUCAAUUUUAUGGAACUCUCCACAUCUAUGGCUAUGGACGAGAUUUGAAGACAUUGGCUAUGGAUUUCAUGAUCUGUGAUGAGCAUAUCAAAGCUCCAGCUUUGGAAUUCUUUACCACCACUCCACUUGCUACAUCAGGCGAAGAUAUUGACCCAAAAGCUGCUGCCUAUGAAGAAGCCACAAGAAGCAUCUUUCCAAUGUGUGAGCGAGCAUGAGUGAAAUGUUGACACUUAUGAAGCCUUUGGCCCCAGAUGCAUAUUUGCCCACAACAUUAUUUGGUGAUGAUCUUCAAUAUCUGGCGAAGAUUAUCUACCAUAUUCUUCGUCACACCAUAUGGCCAAUCAAAUUGCAUUCUUCUUCAAGCAAGUUGGAAGUGGCAUUGAAGACACUAAUCUACAAUGUUGUCUAUGGCAUCCGUUUGAAUCUUCAAGACUUAUUUUUGCGAACCCUGGCUACAAAUAGCAUCAAUCUCUUUGAGCUCAAGAUCUAUGCACCAUGCAUCAUGCACUUCAUUAAGCGCAAAACAAAUACAAGGUUUCGGCUCUUUCAUCAUAGCCAUGGAAAUUUUCUUCCGGGUGUGGAAGUCAUUGAUGCGUCUCCAACGUAUCUAUAAUUUUUGAUGGUUCCAUGCUAUUAUCAUGUCAACUUUGGAUGUUUAUAUGCAUGAAUAUGCUAUUUUUGGGACUAACCUAUUAACUCAGUGCCCAGUGCUAGUUUCUGUUUUUUUCCGUGUUUUUGACCUUUUUCAAAAAAGAAUAUUAAACGGAAUAAAACCCGUGGGAUGAUUUUUUCCAUAACAGAAGAUACGCAAAGGACUUGAGAACCAAGGCAGGAGACCUCGUGGGAGGUCACAAGCCCCCUAGCCGCGGCCUAGGUGGUGGCUGAUGACCAACAAUUAUAGGGGAUCAAUCGUAGUCCUUUCGAUAAGUAAGAGUGUCGAACCCAACGAGGAGCAGAAGGCUCUGAUAAACGGUUUUCAGCAAGGUAAUAACUGCAAGCACUGAAAGUAGCGGUAACAAGUGAUGGUGUAAUGAGGUGAAACGUACCAAGCAAAAAGUAACAAGUAACAAGUAGUAGCAAUGGUGCAGCAAGUGGCCCAAUCCAUUUUGUAGCAAGGGACAAGCCUGAGCAAAGUCUUAUAGGAGGAAAAACGCUCCCGAGGACAAACGGGAAUUUCUGUCAUGCUAGUUUCAUCAUGUUGAUGUGAUUCGCGUUCGUUACUUUGAUAGUUUGAUAUGUGGGUGGACCGGCGCUUGGGUACUGCCCUUACUUGGACAAGGAGUGUUGGUGAUGACGAAGGCGACGAUUUCCCCCUCUGGGAGGGAAGUUUCCCGAGCAGGAUCGUCCUGCCGGAGCUCUAGAUUGGAUCUGCUCAAGUUCCGCCUCGUGGCGGCGGCGAAACCACGAAAAAACUCCCAAUUGAUUUUUUCUGGAAUGAAACCCUUCAUAUAGCAAAAGAGGGGGCCAGUGGGCCGUCAGGGAGCCCACAAGCCCUGUAGCCGCCACCAAGGGGGGUGGCGGCUACCUCGCUUGUGGGCCCCUGGUAGCUCCCCUCUGGUACUUCUUUCGCCCAGUAUUUUUUAUAUAUUCCCAAAAAAUUCCACGUAAAUUUUCAAGGCAUUUGGAGCUGUGCAGAAUAGAGGACUCAGAUUUGGUCCUUUUCCAGUCCAGAAUUCCAGCUUCCUGAAUUCUCCCACUUCUAAUAAACCUUGCAAAAUAAGAGAGAAAAGGCAUAAAUAUGGUACCACAAAGUAAUAUAACAGCCCAUAAAGCGAUAAAUAUCAACAUGAAAGCAUGAUGCAAAAUGGACGUAUCAACUCCCCCAAGCUUAGACCUCGCUUGUCCUCAAGCGAAAACCAAGUUCCAUAAAGAUGUCCACAUGUUUAGGGACGAAGGUGUCGAUAAAACAUAAUACGGACAUGAGGGCAUCAUGAUCACACAUAGAACAGCAAUACAUCAUAAAGAUUCUUAUGGGAAAGUAACAAUUUCUUCACAAAGCAAAGUAUGAAGCAGAAACCUUACCGAGAAGUAACCAACAAGAGUCCAUAGUCAUUGAAGCAAUUGCAAUUUGUCAUAACACCAGAAAGAGUCAAAUAAGAGCUUGUAAGGCAAACCCACAGACUCAAUCAUCUCUUUUAUUUUCCACAAUUGUUACAACUCACGUGGUACUCAUGGUAUCAAAGUUUCAGCUGAACACAGAGGAAGAUAGGGGCUUAUAGUUUUGCCUCCCAACCAUUUACCUCAAGGGUAAAGUCAACAAUAAUAAAGCAUAAGUACUCAAAUCCAAGUUGAUAUAUGAAUAUAGAUCUUUCCCAAGCAUGUGACGGUAGCCAAGAUAAAGGCAAAAAUAGGGAAUUGGUGAAGAUCACCAGGAUUCUUACAAGGGCAAAAAGUAAAGGUACAAGAUAGGCCCUUCGUAGAGGGAAGCCGAGGUUGUGAUGCGCUUUUGAGGUUUGAAUGCGUGUCCUCUUAGUGCGGAGGAACGUCACUUUAUAUUGCCUCAUGUGAUAAAGAACUUUAUUAUGCAGUCUGUCGCUUUUAUGUCUUCCUCAUCACAGGUUCGUACAAAGCUUAUUUUCCACACACUAAUAGAUCAUACAUAUUAGAGAGCAAUUUUUAUUGCUUGCACCGAUGACAACUUACUUGAAGGAUCUUAUUCAAUCCCUAGGUAGGUAUGGUGGACUCUCAUGGAAAAACUGGGUUGAAGGUUUAUGGAUGCACAAGUAGUAUCUCUACUUGGUGCGGGAGUUUUGGCUAAUAUGACGUGGAAGCGAUUGUCACACGCUAAGGGAUCUCUACUCAUAUAACAUUGUUUAGAACCAAGCAAACACAAUUCAUUAUGUUGUCUUCCUUGUCCAACAUCUACUCCUAAGCAUGUAAUAGUUUGGUGAGUGCUCACAGUUGUAAAAAAAGUGUCUAAGAUGAUAUAUUUAUAUGUGAACCUCUCUUUCCUCAUUACUUCUUAUUAAUUGCAACAAUGACUGAGGUCUAUGUUGAUUUAUUCUCAACAAGUUUCAAUCAUCGUACGUGUCAUAAGUGAAGCUAUCACUUUCCAGAAGAUAAUCUCAUGAUCUUUCAUGCUAUCGUUCUUUUCAUACUUUUGAUCACGACACAAAGCAAAGCCCUUGACUAAGAUACUCUUUAUUAUAUAGCUCGCAGGCUCGAAUACAAAGAGGGAGAGACAAAAGCAAAAGACUCAAACUAAACACUAAAGACUUAUUCCACUAAGAGAAGAAAUAAAAACUGAAAAGGAAAGAACUAAAACAAAGGUAAAAGCAAAAGAUAUAAAGGUGAUACGAUACCAGGGCAACUCCCCCAAGCUUGGCAAAAGCCAAGGGGAUUGCCCAUACCAAUGCUUAGUUGUCUUCCCUUGGUGGUCAUGGUGGUGGAUUUGUUGCCUUUGAUUCCAAGAGAGCUAUCAAUCUUUGAUUUAUACCUUUGAGAUCUGCGACAUGGUUUUCCAGCAAAACAACUUCACGAGAAAGGGAAAUAUUGCGAGCAGGAGUUGUUUCGCAAAACCUCAAGAGUUCAAUCAAGGAUGGAGACAACACGUGGAGGAAGGGCUGGAGAAAAUCUACUCCUUCAACGUCUUCAAUGUUGAACAUAGGUUGAACUUCCUCCCUAGCUUGGGUUUUCUCCUUAGCUUUGUCCCUGGCUUCCGUGACUUCUACUCUUUUCAGAUCAUCAUCUACUUCUUCAUGAACUUGGGGAAGAUCAUUCUCCCCAACAGAUUCCUGAGACAUCUGUGCUCUAAAUCUGCGGCAAACAACAGGCUCGAAACGAAAACAGAGGAAAACUGCGCGAUACGGAGAUCAAAACCUUCGGACGAAUAUAUAAUGAUUUUUUCUGGACCAGAAGGAGUGCUCCGCAAGAAAAUGGAGUCCGGGAGGCACACGAGGUGCCCACAAGCCCUCUAGCCGCCACCAGGGGGUAGGGGGCGGCUACCAAGCUUGUGGCCGCCUCGUGCGCUCUCCUGACUGCUUUUUAUUUUUCUAAUUUUCCAAAAAUGCCAAAACGGAGGAAAUUUCCUAUUGGAAAAGUUUCGAAGUCCAAUUACUUACCGAAACAGAUACCUCUUCGUUUUCAGGGUCUGAAACAGGCUGAUAAACAUCCCUUAUGUACUCCUUUGGAGUUAUGACAUUGAUGAUAUUGGUCUCAACAUUUAUGGGAGUACCGGAGAUAUAAUGCUUGAUUCUUUGCCCAUUUACCACUCUAGGAAAAUUGCCUUCCGUGUUAUUGAUUUUGAUGGCACCGGAACGAUAUACUUCCUCGACCACGUAAGGACCUUCCCAUUUAGAGAGGAGCUUUCCUGCGAAGAAUCUUAAGCGAGAAUUGUAUAGCAGGACAUAAUCACCUACAUUGAACUCUCGUUUCUGUAUUCGUUUAUCGUGCCAUCUCUUAACCUUUUCCUUGAACAACUUGGCAUUCUCAUAUGCCUGGGCCCUCCAUUCAUCUAAUGAGCUGAUAUCAAACAACCGCUUCUCACCGGCAAGUUUGAAAUCGAAGUUGAGCUCUUUGAUUGCCCAAUAAGCUUUGUGUUCCAGCUCAAGAGGUAAAUGACAGGCCUUACCGUAAACCAUUUUAUACGGCGACAUGCCCAUGGGAUUCUUAUAAGCAGUCCUAUAAGCCCGUAGUGCAUCAUCAAGUUUACUAGACCAAUUCUUUCGAGAUCUAUUGACAGUAUUUUGAAGGAUCAACUUGAUCUCCCUAUUACUCAACUCCACUUGACCACUAGACUGAGGAUGAUAAGGAUAUGCAACUCUAUAGUUGACAUCAUACUUAGCGAGCAUCUUGCGGAAAACACCAUGAAUGAAGUGUGAACCGCCAUGAGUCAUCAGAUAUCUAGGGACUCCAAACCUUGGGAAAAUGACUUCUUUAAGCAUCUUAAUAGAGGUGUGGUGAUCAGCAUUUUUAGUGGGCAUAGCUUCUACCCACUUAGUGACGUAAUCCACAGCAACUAAGAUAUGAGUGUACCCAUUGGAACUCGGGAAGGGUCCCAUAUAAUCAAAGCCCUAGACAUCAAAUGGUUCAAUGACAAGUGAAUAGUUCAUAGGCAUUUCCCGAUGUUUACUGAUAUUCCCUAUUCUUUGGCAUUCAUCACAAGACAAGACAAACUUACGGGCAUCCUUGAAGGGAGUGGGCCAAUAGAAACCUGAUUGCAAUACCUUAUGAGCAGUUCUAUCUCCAGCAUGGUGUCCUCUGUAGUCUUCGGAAUGACACUUCUGCAGGAUCUGUCCCUGUUCAUGUUCAGGCACACAACGUCUAAUGACACCAUCUAUUCCUUCCUUAUAAAGGUGAGGAUCAUCCCAAAAGUAGUGUCUCAAAUCAAAGAAGAAUUUCUUCUUUUGCUGAUAGGUGAAACUGGGUGGUAUGUAUUUGGCUACAAUAUAGUUUGCAUAAUCAGCAUACCACGGUGCACUAGCUGAAGUGCGGAUGACAUUUAAUUGCUCAUCAGGGAAACUGUCAUCAAUAGGUCGCGGGUCAUCAAGGACAUUCUCCAGCCUAGACAAGUUAUCUGCUAUAGGGUUAUCAACACCCUUUCGGUCAACAACGUGCAAAUCAAAUUCCUGUAGCAGGAGAACCCAUCUGAUUAGCCUAGGCUUAGCGCCCUUCUUCUCCAUAAGGUACUUAAUAGCAGCAUGAUCAGAGUGAAUAGUGACUUUGGAGUCAACUAUAUAAGAUCUGAACUUUUCACAUGCAAACACGAGUGCUAAAAACUCCUUUUUCGUAGUGGCAUAGUUUCUUUGGGCACUGUCUAGAGUUUUACUAGCGUAGUGAAUGACAUUCAACUUCUUGUCAACUCUUUGUCCUAGAACAACACCAACAGCAUAAUCACUAGCAUCACACAUGAUUUCAAAGGGCAAGUUCCAGUCAGGUUGUUGAACAAUAGGUGCGGUUAUCAAAGCCUUCUUAAGUAUUUCGAAAGCUUCCUCACAAUCCUCAUCAAAAACAAAAGGAACAUCCUUCUGCAAGAGGUUGGUAAGAGGCCUAGAAAUCUUAGAGAAGUCUUUAAUGAACCUUCUAUAGAAACCAGCAUGACCUAGGAAACUUCGUAUACCUCUGAUAUCUGUGGGGCAAGGCAUUUUCUCAAUUGCAUCAACCUUAGCCUUAUCAACUUCAAUGCCUAUAUCAUAAAUUUUGUGUCCUAAGACGAUGUCUUCAUUAACCAAUAAAGUGGCACUUCUCCCAAUUCAAGACGAGGUUGGUAUCUUUGCAUCUCUGUAAGACUCGAUCAAGGUUGCUGAGGCAAUCAUCAAAGGAAGACCCAUAAACGGAGAAGUCAUCCAUGAAAACUUCGACAAUCUUUUGACAAAAGUCAGAGAAUAUAGCCAUCAUACAUCUUUGAAAGGUGGCAGGUGCAUUGCAUAAGCCAAAAGGCAUACGUCUAUAGGCAAAGGUACCGAAGGGGCAGGUAAAAGUGAUUUUCUCCUGAUCGGAUUGUGCAACAGGUAUUUGCGAGAAACCUGAAUAACCGUCUAGAAAGCAGAAGUGUGUGUUUUUGGAUAGCCUUUCUAGCAUUUGGUCGAUAAACGGCAAAGGAUAAUGAUCUUUCCUGGUUGCCUUGUUCAGUUUCCGGAAGUCUAUCACCAUCCUAUAGCUAGUAAUGAUCCUUUGUGGGAUUAAUUCAUUCUUAUCAUUAGGAACGACGGUGAUACCUCCCUUCUUAGGUACGCAAUGUACUGGACUUACCCAAUCACUAUGAGCAACAGGAUAAAUGAUUCCUGCUUCUAGAAGCUUUAAUAUUUCUUUUCUCACGACCUCUUUCAUCUUAGGAUUCAAUCUCCUUUGAUGAUCAGCAACUGGUUUAAAGUCAGGAUCAGUUUUAAUCUUGUGCCGGCAUAGAGUAGGACUAAUGCCCUUAAGAUCAUCAAGAGUAUAUCCAAUAGCAGCACGGUGCUUCCUCAGAGUUUUAAGUAACUUCUUUUCUUCAUGCUCUGAGAGGAGAGCACUAAUAAUAACAGGGUAUAUCUCCUUCUCAUCAAGAUAGGCAUACUUAAGAGUAUCAGGCAACUGUUUAAGUUCGAACACAGGAUCACCCUUCGGUGGGGGAGGAUCCCCAAGCAGUUCAACAGGCAGAUUAUUCUUGAGAAUAGGAUAUUGUUCUAAGACAAUUUUAUCUAUCUCAUCUCUUUCAUCCAUAUGCAUAUCAUUUUCAUGCUCAAGCAGAUAUUGCUCUAAAGGAUCCGUAGGAUGUACGGCAAUAGAGGCAAGAGCCAUGAUUUCAUCCCUACUAGACGACUCUUUUUCAUGGGGUUGUCUUCCAAACUUGGAGAAGUUAAAUUCAUGAGACACACCCUUGAAACUAACUGUGACAGUCUGCUUAAUGCAAUCAAUGUGAGCAUUGACAGUGUUAAGAAAGGGUCUACCGAAUAUGAUGGGACAAAAGCUAUCUUGUGCAGUACCAAGGACGAGGAAAUCAGUAGGAUACUUCGUCUUACCACACAAGACUUCUACUUCUCUCACAAUUCCCAGAGGGCAUAUAGUGUCUCUAUUAGCUAGCGUAAUAGUGACAUCAAUGGGUUCUAACUCAGCAGGUGCAAUCUCAUCUUUGAUUUCAUCAUAUAGGGAACGGGGUAUUGCACUAACACUAGCACCCAUAUCACAUAAACCAUGGUAACAGUGAUCUCCUAUCUUGACAGAAACAACGGGCAGGCCAACUACAGGUCCAUAUUUGUCUUUCACGUGAGGUUUAGUAAUUCUAGCGGAGUCCUCACAGAAUUUGAUAACAUGCCCAUCUAUGUCUUUGGCUAAGAGAUCUUUGAUAAUAGCAACACUAGGUUCAACUCUAAUCUCCUCAGGGGGUGCAAGUGGUCUAAUGUAACCCCUACGUAUCACAAUUGGAGCUUUAGAAUAAUCCUUUAUCCUAGCAGGGUAUGGUGGUUUCUCAGUGUAAGCACAAGGAACAACAGGAUCACUAAAAGCAAUGACUUUCUCCUCAACUAGAUUGGUUUUGGCUAUGUUGCUUUCUACAGGAGGAUGAUAUUUAAACCACUUCUCUUUGGGAAGAUCAACAUGAGCAGCAAAAGAUUCACAUAGAGAAGCUACCAUCUCAGAGUCAAGUCCAUACUUAGCGCUAAAAUCUCUAGAAGUGUUUGUCUCAACAAAAGAUUUAACGCAAUCAAACUAGAAAUUCAUACCUGACUCCUAACCUUCCUCCAGCUCCCAAUCUUCAGAGUUACGUUUGAUUAUUUCCAAUAAAUUCCACUUGUGGUCAAUAUCCUUCUUCAUAAAAGAACCGGUACAAGAAGUGUCAAGCAUGGUACGAUCUUCAUGAGAGAGCCGAGCAUAAAAGUUUUGAGUGAUAAUUUCUCUCGAGAGCUCAUGAUUGGGGCAUGAAUAUAACAUUUAUUUAAGCCUCCCCCAAGCUUGAGCUAUGCUUUCCCUGUCACGAGGCCAAAAGUUAUAAAUCCGAUCACGAUGUACUAAGUGCAUAGGAUAGAACUUUUGAUGAAAUUCCAAUUUCAACCGAUUGUAGUCCCAUGAUCCAGUAUCAUCACAUAGCCUAUACCAUGUCAAUGCCUUAUCCUUCAAAGAUAAAGGAAAGACUUUCUUAUUUACCUCAUCCUCGGGAAAACCUGCAAGCUUAAAUAAACCAUAAACUUCAUCUACAUAGAUUAGAUGCAAGUCUCGAUGUGAAGAUCCAUCUCCUGUAAAAGGAUUAGCCAGCAAUUUCUCAAGCAUACCCGAAGGAAUUUCAUAAAAGAUAUUUUCAGUAGGUACCUCAGGUUGAGGAACAACUCCUCGUGCUUCCGUUCGUGGUGAAGAUACCCCGAACAAACUCCUCAAAGUAACAGUUUCCAUAGUGACAAGUGACAAUAAAUUUCAGCACAGUAUAUAAAUGUUUCCUUACCAAAUUCCACUUACCAAAGGCGCUUCACUCCCCGGCAACGGCGCCGGAAAAGAGUCUUGAUGACCCACAAGUAUAGGGGAUCAAUCGUAGUCCUUUCAAUAAGUAAGAGUGUCAAACCCAACGAGGAGCAGAAGGCUCUGAUAAACGAUUUUCAGUAAGGUAAUAACUGCAAGCACUGAAAGUAGCGGUAACAAGUGAUGGUGUAGUGAGGUGAAACGUAGCAAGCGAAAAGUAACAAGUAACAAGUAGUAGCAAUGGUGUAGCAAGUGGCCCAAUCCCGUUUGUAGCAAGGGACAAGCCUGAGCAAAGUCUUAUAGGAGGAAAAACGCUCCCGAGGACACACGGGAAUUUCUGUCAUGCUAGUUUCAUCAUGUUCAUGUGAUUCGCGUUCGUUACUUUGAUAGUUUGAUAUGUGGGUGGACCGGCGCUUGGGUACUGCCCUUACUUGGACAAGCAUCCCACUUAUGAUUAACCCCUCUCACAAGCAUCCGCAACUAAGAAAGAAGAAUUAAGACAACGUCUAACCAUAGCAUUAAACUAGUGGAUCCAAAUCAGCCCCUUACGAAGCAACGCAUAGACUGGGGUUUAAGCUUCUGUCAUUCCAGCAACCCAUCAUCUACUUACUACUCCCCAAUGCCUUCCUCUAGGCCCAAAUAUGGUUAAAUGUUAUGUAGUUGACGUUCACAUAACACCACUAGAGGAAAAACAACAAACAGCAUAUCAAAAUACCGAACGAAUACCAAAUUCACAUGACUAUUAUUAGCAUGACUUAUCCCAUGUCCUCAGGAACAAAAGUAACUACUCACAAAGCAUAAUCGUAAUCAUGAUAAAAAGUUUAAUGAAUAGCAUCAAGGAUCUGAACAUAAACUCUUCCACCAAGUAAUCCAACUAGCAUCAACUACAAAGAGUAAUCACCACUACUAGCAACCUUACAAGUACCAAUCGGAGUCACGAGACGGAGAUUGGUUACAAGAGAUGAACUAGGGAUUGGAGAGGAGAUGUUGCUGAUGAAGAUGUUGAUGAAGAUGACUCCCCUCCGAUGAGAGGAGUGUUGGUGAUGACGAAGGCGACGAUUUCCCCCUCCGGGAGGGAAGUUUCCCCAGCAGGAUCGUCCUGCCGGAGCUCUAGAUUGGAUCUGCUCAAGUUCCGCCUCGUGGCGGCGGCGAAACCACAAAAAAGCUCCCAAUUGAUCUUUUCUGGAACGAAACCCUUCAUAUAGCAAAAGAGGGGGGCCAGUGGGCCAUCAGGGAGCCCACAAGCACUGUAGCCGCCACCAGGGGGGCGGCUACCAGGCUUGUGGGGCCGUGGUAGCUCCCCUCUGGUACUUCUUUCGCCCAAUAUUUUUUUAUAUAUUCCCAAAAAAUUCCACGUAAAUUUUCAGGGCAUUUGGAGCUGUGCAGAAUAGAGGACUCAGAUUUGCUCCUUUUCAAGUCCAGAAUUCCAGCUGCCUGAAUUCUCCCACUUCAAAUAAACCUUGCAAAAUAAGAGAGAAAAGGCAUAAAUAUGGUACCACAAAGUAAUAUAACAACCCAUAAAGCGAUAAAUAUCAAUAUGAAAGCAUGAUGCAAAAUGGACGUAUCAGUGGCCGCGCCUGGCACGCUUGUGGGCCCCACGUGGCUCCUUUGCCCUACCUCUUUCGCCUAUAAAUUCUCUAAAAUACCGAAACCAAAGAUUGUUGGAAUUUUGCCCUAGAGGCAAUGAUAAAUAAGUUAUUAUUAUAAUUCCUGUAUUAAGAUAAUCGUUUAUUAUCCAUGCUAUAAUUGUAUUAAAUGAAGACUUAGAUACAUGUGCGGAUACAUAGACAAAACACUGUCCCUAGCAAGCCUCUAGUUGGCUAGCUAGUUGAUCAAGGAUAGUCAAGGUCUUCUGACUAUGUACAAGGUGUUGUUGCUGGAUAACUGGAUCACAUCAGUGAGUGAAUCAUGUGAUGGACUAGACCCAAACUAAUGAACGUAGCAUGUUGAUCGUGUCAUUUUGUUGCUACUGUUUUCUGCGUGUCAUGUAUUUGUUCCUAUGACCAUGAGAUCAUAUAACUCACUAGCACCGGAGGAAUGCCUUAUGUAUAUCAAACGUCACAACAUAACUGGGUGACUAUAAAGAUGCUCUACAGGUAUCUCCGAAGGUGUCCAUUGAGUUAGUAUGGAUCAAGACUGGGAUUUGUCACUCCAUGUGACGGAGAGGUAUCUCGGGGCCCACUCGUUAAUACAACAUCACACACAAGCCUUGCAAGCAAUGUGACUUAGUGUAAGUCACGGGAUCUUGUAUUACGGAACGAGUAAAGAGACAAAGGGAAUGACAUACGGGAUUAUAUGAAUCCUUGGCUCUGAGGUUCAAUCGAUAAGAUCUUCGUAGAAUAUGUAGGAUCCAAUAUGGGCAUCCAGGUCCCGCUAUUGGAUAUUGACCGAGGAGUCCCUCGGGUCAUGUCUACAUAGUUCUCGAACCCGCAGGGUCUGCACACUUAAGGUUCGGCGUUGUUUUAUGCGUAUUUGAGUUAUAUGGUUGGUUACCGAAUGUUGUUUGGAGUCCCGGAUGAGAUCACGGACGUCGCGAGGGUUUCCGGAAUGGUCCGGAAAUGAAGAUUGAUAUAUAGGAUGACCUCAUUUGAUUACCGGAAAGUUUUCGAGCAUUACCGGGAAUGUACCGGGAGUGACGAAUGAGUUCCGGAUGUUCACCGGGGGGGGGGGGGAAGCCCCCCCGGGNNNNNNNNNNNNNNNNNNNNNNNNNNNNNNNNNNNNNNNNNNNNNNNNNNNNNNNNNNNNNNNNNNNNNNNNNNNNNNNNNNNNNNNNNNNNNNNNNNNNNNNNNNNNNNNNNNNNNNNNAAAAAGGGGAAGUGGGAAGGAAGGGUAGGACUCCACCUUCCAAUCCUAGUUGGACUAGGAUUGGAGGAGGACUCCUCCUCCCCCCCUUCGGCCGACCCCUUGAGGCUCCCUUGAGCCUCAAGGCAGGUCCCUCCCCCUCCCUCCUAUAUAUAAUGAGGUAUUAGGGCUGAUUUGAGACAACUUUGCCACGGCAGCCCGACCACAUACCUCCACGUUUUUUCCUCUAGAUCGUAUUUUUGUGGAGCUCGGGCGGAGCCCUGCUGAGAUAGAUCACCACCAACCUCCGGAGCGCCAUCACGCUGCCGGAGAACUCAUCUACCUCUCCGUCUCUCUUGCUGGAUCAAGAAGGCCGAGAUCAUCGUCGAGCUGUACGUGUGCUGAACGCGGAGGUGUCGUCCGUUCGACAUUAGAUAGGAGCGGAUCGUGGGACGGUUCGCGGGGCGGAUCGAGGGACAUGAGGACGUUCCACUACAUCAACCGCGUUUCUUAACGCUUCCUGGUGUGCGAUCUACAAGGGUACGUAGAUCGGAAAUCCCCUCUCGUAGAUGGACAUCACCAUGAUAGGUCUUCGUGCGCGUAGGAAUUUUUUUGUUUCCCACGCAACGUUCCCCAACAGUGGCAUCAUGAGCUAGGUUCAUGCGUAGAUGUCAUCUCGAGUAGAACACAAAAGUUUUUAUGGGCGGUGAUGUGCGAUUUGCUGCCCUCCUUACUCUUUUCUUGAUUCCGCGGUAUUGUUGGAUCGAAGCGGNNNNNNNNNNNNNNNNNNNNNNNNNNNNNNNNNNNNNNNNNNNNNNNNNNNNNNNNNNNNNNNNNNNNNNNNNNNNNNNNNNNNNNNNNNNNNNNNNNNNNNNNNNNNNNNNNNNNNNNNNNNNNNNNNNNNNNNNNNNNNNNNNNNNNNNNNNNNNNNNNNNNNNNNNNNNNNNNNNNNNNNNNNNNNNNNNNNNNNNNNNNNNNNNNNNNNNNNNNNNNNNNNNNNNNNNNNNNNNNNNNNNNNNNNNNNNNNNNNNNNNNNNNNNNNNNNNNNNNNNNNNNNNNNNNNNNNNNNNNNNNNNNNNNNNNNNNNNNNNNNNNNNNNNNNNNNNNNNNNNNNNNNNNNNNNNNNNNNNNNNNNNNNNNNNNNNNNNNNNNNNNNNNNNNNNNNNNNNNNNNNNNNNNNNNNNNNNNNNNNNNNNNNNNNNNNNNNNNNNNNNNNNNNNNNNNNNNNNNNNNNNNNNNNNNNNNNNNNNNNNNNNNNNNNNNNNNNNNNNNNNNNNNNNNNNNNNNNNNNNNNNNNNNNNNNNNNNNNNNNNNNNNNNNNNNNNNNNNNNNNNNNNNNNNNNNNNNNNNNNNNNNNNNNNNNNNNNNNNNNNNNNNNNNNNNNNNNNNNNNNNNNNNNNNNNNNNNNNNNNNNNNNNNNNNNNNNNNNNNNNNNNNNNNNNNNNNNNNNNNNNNNNNNNNNNNNNNNNNNNNNNNNNNNNNNNNNNNNNNNNNNNNNNNNNNNNNNNNNNNNNNNNNNNNNNNNNNNNNNNNNNNNNNNNNNNNNNNNNNNNNNNNNNNNNNNNNNNNNNNNNNNNNNNNNNNNNNNNNNNNNNNNNNNNNNNNNNNNNNNNNNNNNNNNNNNNNNNNNNNNNNNNNNNNNNNNNNNNNNNNNNNNNNNNNNNNNNNNNNNNNNNNNNNNNNNNNNNNNNNNNNNNNNNNNNNNNNNNNNNNNNNNNNNNNNNNNNNNNNNNNNNNNNNNNNNNNNNNNNNNNNNNNNNNNNNNNNNNNNNNNNNNNNNNNNNNNNNNNNNNNNNNNNNNNNNNNNNNNNNNNNNNCGACCGCCCUGUGUGGUAUGAGACCCCUAACGACAUUCGUCCUCCUUCUCCCAUCUUGGCCAUAUCUGGAGUCUGCACACGCAGCGUCAAAGGAUCAAACAUCACUCUACUAUUUGACCGUAAGGUACGUGCUAGUGCCAUAUUGGCUUUGUGCGGUUUCACUUGGGCGGUUUUCAGUUCAGGCGGACUCUUUCAUCUCUUCGAGGUAUCCAAAUGGCGGCUGGACAUAUUGUUCGUCCGAGCCCACCGGUUUGGUCUACAUCUGCCUUGCAGCAGAAGAUGAUCAUACUAGAAAAGGAGUUUUUAAGAAAUCUGAUCCUUAGGUUGUCAAACGCCAGUACCUGAAUUGUAUUGAAAUGAAAAUCGUGUGAGUUGUAACGUGUUCUUUUGUUCUGUUACUCAAUGAGUACCUAUACGAAUGUCUUAACUGAUAGCUCAAUUGCUGAGCUAUCAGAGUAAUAUCUCAUUUGGGAUACAGUGCUACCAAUGUAGUCAUGGGCGAUUGGUUCUGCUGAAUUGGCUCCUCGAACCCUACAGUUGUUGAUCUGCAUGACUAACUGUGAUGUUAGUAUUGGUAGCCAAAUGAAAUUGUCAUGCAAGAUCUUUGUAAUUUUUAUAGUGGAUUGGUGUGGAAUUGGAACACAAGCCGACAAUUUUGAUCUCUUAUUUGUAGACCAUACAAAUGUUUCUGGCUCAGAUUGUUUUUCCUAAGAAAAGCGUACUUAAGCUGAAUGGAAGUAUCAUGUAUGUUCUCUAAAUUUUCUUUCAAUGAAUUACAUUGAAUGGGUGUAGAUCUAGCCUCUAGCGGCACUGCUAUCGGUGUCCUUUUGAGUUCCAUUUAUGCCAUCAUGUUAUGCCCUUCAAAUCAAGGGCACUCAUUUGCAGGUUUAAUUUACAUUAAUGUCAUUGUGGCAUGAUUAACUAAAGUAUGCUUUCUAGGAUGUUGCCAGUAGUCAAAACCAGAGCUAAACCAAAAAAAUGUGAAUAUGAUAUAUUUUGAACCAAUGUUUGAUAGUAUAGUCCAGUUCAAGAAACUGUCAUCCGGGCGCAAUCUGAUUUUUCUGCAUCCGUUUUUUAUGUCCUUGUAAUUUUGUUUUCCUGAUAUUAACUAACUGUGGAUUCUUUAUAGAGGCUAUGUUUGUUGGCAUUCUAUAAUUAAUCCACAUUGUUGAUAAGUUAUUAUUCAGUGGUUAGAGUUUUUUAGAUUGUUCAUGACGUUCAUUUUAGACGAGUUUGGCCAAAAAGUUGACCAUAUACAUAUAGUGUGAUUCUCUGAUAUGCUUGCUUCAUGUGUGGCCUAAUAAUCUCAUCAAUUAAUUUCCAGAUGUUUCUGGAGGUCUAAUGGACUAUUUUCAACUCCAAGUAAAUUUGAAAACAUGGAUGUAACGGGUCCUUACCAUGCUUAUUUUUUGAUAAAAAUUAUAAUAUUUAACUGUAAAUAGAAUGUUUGCAAUGAUGAAACUUGAGCUAUAAUUGUCAUGCUGCCUAGGAUUAUUGCACGGCACCGGAAUGAUCGAGCACGAGGUCUCUAGUAUGGUAAACAAUACACCAUCUUCAUUCCCACUACCUUAUAGGUUUAAGUCUUUGCCUUUACGAAGUCAUUUAUUUCCAACUUUUUUUCCGCUUAGUUCCAAAUAAUGUUUACUUGCUAGAAAGUAAAAAUAAUUUAGUACUUUUAAUUCAUCAAGUAAUUGUUAUUCUGCUUCUAAUUAGUAAUUGUAACCAGCAUCCCACUCCAAUCAAAUCAUGCUUGCAAUUGUUUACUAAACCAGGAGGUACUACAAUCAAAAUAAGGUUGUACAUAAUCCUCAUUAACAUGGUAUUGUGAUGAAAAACUAGCCCAACUUUUUUUGAGACAUAAUAUGAGGUUUCUUCGAACUAAUUAGACUACAAAAUACCCCCCCCCCCCCCCGUGUAAGUCAGCAGUCACAACUUAUAGAUAUAAUCAUCUAUGAUAGUACUUUGAUAAUGCACAAUAUAUGAAAAGAAUAUUAUCUUUUAUUUUCUUCUACUUAAUAGGACCCAUAUAUGUUCUAGAUGAUGUGAUACAUUUGCAGGAUACCUCACUCGGAUGAGCUAGGAAUGGGUAACAACAAACUUGAAGUCUGCAGACACUAAACUUAGAGCUAAAGGGGAAUUUGUCUAAUGAUUACAAUCUUGCCAUGAGUUGAUGCAAUACUAUGUACACCUUGGAGGAGCAGAAUAUAGAAUGAUCAUAUGUUGCCUGCUCUCAAAUGAAAAACCUAUUUAGAGAAUUGCAUUUUGUAUGACCUUUCUAUUUUUUGUUUUUGUAUCAUUUACUUUUGUUGGGAUUGCUCGAUAGUCAAAUAAUUCAUCGCAGUACAGCUAGGAAGUGCCCAUAUUGAUUCCGAAUAGGCUAAACUUGCUUUGAUAAGAACAUAAAGCAAGACUUUCUUUUAUAGAUACUAUGUUUUCACAUAUAUUUUGACCAACAUUAUCAAUUCUCCUAGUUUUACAUAUACAUGACUCACUCUUGGGGUUGUUAUUGUGUUAGAGUCACUCUCGAGCUUCUGACCAGUGUAGAUUAUAUAGAUUAAGACCAAAUGCACAGUGUAUUGGAUGACUAUUUUCUAAUAAAUUUAUAGUUUACUCCAUCAGGGAUCCGUGUCAUGAUGCACCGCUAACACUUGGACAGUGUAUAGUGGAAGCAACUGUGCUCGGUCAUGAUGCACCGCUAACACUUGGACAUCGAAGCUGUUUCUAGUAUGACUUCCAAGAAGAGGCUGCGAUCGGCCAAUCACGAAGUUGUUGGGGUGCAGCAUCGUGCCACAUUGUGAGGUAUUUUACCGUUGUUAUUUGUUUCGGCCUGUUGUCCCAUAUAAUUGAGUUUGCACUUUAUUUGCAAAAAGGGAAGCCUAGGUUGUUAUAAAACUUUGAAAAAUUGUUUCAACCAGUCAGAAUGUUUUUCCAGUUGUAAAUAUUAUAGCUAGGCAUAUGCCGUAACUUGUUUUUGAUCAUAUAUUGGUUAAAGUGAUUCAUAAAAUACGUUGAGUGGUAGCUUCUGAGCUGAGUAAAGUUGUGGCCAAAUGUCACCCAUAUUUAAGAGUUCAUACCAUUCUAUUGCUAGAAUGGACGGCCGCGACAACACGCGCCAUCAAUGAUGUUAUUGAAAGUUGCAAGCUCUAUAAGUUGUAAAGUGAAAAUUACGUACAAGAAAUCUGACAAUUUCAACAGAAGAAGUUUAUAUUGAUAUAUACAUUUAUUUCUAGGUCUAUAAGGUUUGGGGAUUGUGAUAGUGUACCUCUUGUAGUGUAGUUUAUACUAGAGUAAAAGGAAAUCCAACACGCACAUUGAUCUACCAAGGAUAAGCAAUCACCACGGAAACACCAAAAAAAGUUCAUGAAAUUUAGCACGGACCACUACUUCUCUCAUCAUGAAUAUAAAACCGGCUGUCCAUGUAUUUAAAUCAACAUGGUAUGCCUACCACAAAGUCCCCCAUGCCAAGGCUGAUAACUGCGUUUGGCCACCCAUUCCACGGGCAUCCAUGUCCAUAUCCUGGUGUCGUGUUUGGCCUUUGUUUCGUCUAGUCUGUUUUGAUCACAACAUUCUACAUUUUUAUAUCCGAUUCGGGUUACUUGUUAACAUUUGUUCAACUUAAAUACAAGACUCUCCAACUUAAGUACAUCGAAAACUCCAACUAUAGGCUACUAAUUCACAUAUUUAAGACAAAUUAAAGAAUAAUACCAAUUACAUGUAUAAUCAAUAUGUAUGUACAUUUUUGCGUGUUUCAAGUCAAAGUUAGAGAAAUCUGGCUCUUCUUGCAGUAUAGAUCAAACCAUUUCAGGUAAAAUAACUUAUAAUAUGAAAAUAAUCUUUAUUACUCAUGAUCUAAAAUGAAUAUGCAAAAACGCGGAGCCUAGAUACAUACAACAUACCCUAUAAGUAUUACACUAUGCAAUAUACACAUAUGCUUGUAGUAAUCGUUACUUGCAAAUCACACUCAAGCCAGGAGGCCGGCUACGGCAAGUACGAUGGCGAGACCAAACCCUGUGGUGGCCAUAGAGGUUGCGGCUGAGACAGGCGUCGGCGGAGGAGCGUUACUUGCACUGGGACCGCUGGCCGGGGCAGGCGAGGAAGAAGAGGAAAUCGACACAACAUCGAUCUUGACCUUCAUUCCCCCGGCGCAGUGGCCCGGGAAGCCGCAUAUGAAGUAGCGGGUACCGGUGGCGGUGAGGGAGACGACAUCAUUCCCGGAGUUGAGGGUGGCGAUUGGGCUGCCGAUGCUGCACGAGUCGUAGCCGGCCUGGUUGACCUCGAGGACGUCGUGUGCCUGAGGAGAGUAUUUGAAGACGAUCUGGUCGCUUGGGUGGAAGUUCCUGGAGGAUCGACGCCCAG